rnacentral:lncRNA from 1 species
AGCUUCCUUGGUAAUGGUCCGGCCACUUGGGCCAAUCGCUACAGCUGCAGGAAUGCCUUGAAUUUUGAAUUUCCGACUCAGGAUUUGUUUCCUUUCGUCACCAAAUGGAAGGGCUAACCAAGGCAUUUCUGAAUAGAACUCGUCAAAGGUGGAUUGAUCGCUGUCACUUGAGAUGAAGAUCACCUCAAAUGCAUUGUCUUUUGCUUUAAUUGUGUGGUAUGCUUCAAUUAGCUUGGGUAAAAAGGCACGACAAGGAGGGCACCAUUGAGCUGAGAAGUAAAGAAGAAUGUUCUUUCCAACUAGAUCAGACACUCGGACCUAAUCAAAGAGCAAACCAUUUGAAUGAUAAAAAUACCUUUGCUAAUGAAUUCAAUUCGAGAUAAUAAGCAAGUUAUUGAAAGUAAUGCAAUAACAACAUGCGAUGUUAGCACAGAACAAAAAAUUACCUUGGAUCCACUUUUGUCAAUCACAAAAUCAUUUUCCCCAUUAACCAAAACUGACUCAAGCGUCUGCGAUUCCAGUUUUGCCUUUUCAAUUUCAGCUAGCUCCUCAAGCUUUUCCGGUGUAAAUGGGUAGGCUUCAAUUCCAUGGUCUUCGAUGAGUUCAGCUACAUUUGGGUUCAAAGUCUUCCCAUCUUGGCCAAUUAUGACAAGAUUAGGAAUGGUUCUAAGUUCAAAAUACCGCGCUAGCUUCUCGCAGCUCUUGUCCUUAAACGGCAAUGCCAACCAAGGCAUUGUCUCAAAACUCUCUUUGAAUUAGGACUACUUCAAGUUCUCUCCUUUUUCCUUGAGCCUCUUGUACAAUUCCACUAGUUUAGGAGUGAAUUCACGGCACAAUCCUAUGAGCAUGGAUUGAGAAAUACAAGCCAACCAAUUUUCCUUCAAGGUCCAACACAGGGAUCUGCCAUUACAGAUAGCAAAAAUGUAAAUUAUGGCAUCAUCAUUAAAAAUAGCAAAAAAGUGAAUGAUGGCAUCAUCAAUUCAAUUUCAAAACUAGCUAAUUGAAUGAGCCAUCUACCUUUUUUCCAUCAUUUGAAAUCACAUAAUCACGUGAGCUUGAAACCAAGAUAGAGCUUAUGGUUUGAUUCUUCUUAGCAUUCUCUUCUUGCUCUUUCAGGAAAUUCAGUCUAUCAAGGUUGAACGGAUACCCAUCCACGCCAUGUUCCUUGACAGUGCUGACUCCAUUAUCGCAGGAAACCUUGCCAUUCGUAUCAAAAAUGACAAGAUUAGGGAUCCCUCUUACUUUGAACACUUCCUUAAGACGUUUGCGGGUCUCCGUAUCAGAGAAGGGAAUAGCAAGCCAUGGCAUUUCGGAGAAGUAUGUGUUGAAGGAUUCAUCGUCUCUGUCAGAAGAAAUGAAGACCACCUCAAAGUCCCCUUUGGAUGAUAGCUGUUCAUAGACUUCUACCAACAACGGAGUGAAAUUACGGCACGGCCCGCACCACGAACCAGAGAAGUAGAAUCCCACAAUCUUCCCAACCAAAUUGCUGACCUUAACCUAAAAAUUAACGUGGAACAUUAUCAGAAAAAAGUUUCAGCCCUUAACGAAUCAAAAUCUUAUUUGUGGUUUCUUUCUCUUGCCAGUGAGAGAAGCAACAAAAAAAAGAGCUUUUUCUUAAUCAUAAAAGCUUCAGAAAUUGGUCAUAAAUUUGUUCUUCAGCAAGGCUUGCAGUCUAAUUUAAACAUGAUAUUCAUCUUAAUUACUAGAAAAACCUACAAGUUCAUAUAAAAAAAGACGUCAACUUAUAAUAAGACAAGAAGAAGUAGAAUUGAAUAAGAUCAGAGAAACUCAUAUGCUAAAAGCAGUACCUGAUCACCAUUGUUGCGGAUGAGAAAGUCCCUCUCUUCUGAAGAAAGAAGCUUUGAAAGGUCGAGAGAAACGUCUUCGGUGGCCAUAGCUAGCUAUGUGAUGAACUACUCAAAAGGCUAGAACAAUUGCCAAUCCCAGUUGCUGUGUAAUGGAACUUCCAGGCUAAGGCUCCUUUAAAGUACCUGCUCGCCCGGCCUAGGAAAUUAUUAUUCUAAUUGUCAACGACGACUACAAGGCUUGGCUGGUGUCGAGUGAUGACGAAGACAUUAUGACGUAGGUCCGCGGAAGCGGUAUUCGCAUUAUUACGUGCUUCUAUAAAUCUCCUAUUGCUUCAUUUUUUUUUUAACAUGUUUUUUUUAAUCUCCUUUUUUUGUUUGUAUUCUAGUUUUUUAAAAAUUAUGAGUUUGUUAUUAAAUAUAUUUUUUGUUUUUAUCUCUUUAAUAAAAUCUUUAUUAAAUGUGACUUGAUGAUAACAACAUGUAAUUUAAUAAAUUGGUUAAGAUCCAAACUUAAUAGAUUCCUUCUUAUCCUUCUGAUAAAGUUUUUUAAUAGUGAAACUCUCAACUCCUUUUGAUUUAAAAAAUAAUGAUGUUACGUGUAUUUAAUAAUUAUAAAUCAAAUUAUAUUAUGUAUUUGAGCCACGUCAUGACUCUAUUUCAAUAAAAAAAAUCCUUAUAUUUUUAGGAGAGAAAGAAAGAGUUUUUAAAUACAAUAUUUUAUCAUAAUUUUGACCUUUCCCUACUCAAAAGUGCACUAUACAUAUAUAUCAUUAUCUUUUAUCGAACACUCCAAAUGUAUUUAAAUUUGUCAAUUAAUUGUAAAUAAGGGAAGUUAAUGAAUUUCCACUCUAAAAUGUUCAAAUUCAUUGUUUGCUUUCAACUUUGUUCUAAUUAAAUCAGGUUAAGUAUAUGACUUUUUUCAUUAGUGGGUAUCCACUAGAUAUUCUAUUUGAUCUAUUUUUUUAAUUAAUUUUAUAAAAAUAAAACCUAAACUAAAAAAAUAAAAUAAUUCCUCCUUCAUGAAUCAUAAAACUAUGAAAUUAAAUUAAAUAAAAAAAUAAGAGAUGUUGUUAGUUUAGUGUUGUUGCAAAGUGGACAAAAACUCAAAAUAUCAAGGAUAAGAAUAAUAUUAUAGUUUUAUUUUUAAAAUUUUUUUUCAAUAUAAUCACUAAAUAUUUUUUUUAAUUUCAUCUUUGAUAUUUUAUUAAUCAAGAAUUUGGACUUAUUGGUUGGUUUUCUAUAAUCUUUUAUGUGGGGGAAAUUAAAUGUCUCUACAUUAGGGUCAUGUUUGAUUUUACAAAAUAAAAUCCUAUUUUAUUGCAUAUAAAAAUUUAAGACUUGGGGCCAAAAUUGACCGUUAGCAACAAUUUCAAGAUUCUUUAUUUGAGAAAUGUUCAUUUCUCCAUAUUUUACUUUAAAAAUUUUAUAUUUUAAUCCAAAACUCUAUUUUGAUCACAUUUCAGUCUCUAGCUUUAAACAAAAGAUAAAAAUUCAUUGAAAAUAAUGAAAGAGAGAGAAACACAUAGAGUGACAAAGUUUUGUUAGUAAAAAUAACUAAAAUUUGUGUCAAUGUGUUCUUCUUGAUAAGAAGAGUGCUACUAUGGUGUUUUUGACUUUUUAUAUAUAAAAAAAAAACAGAUCGAGAUUUGGAGAGUUUUUUUUUAAGGUUAAACUUUGUGUUUUAAAAUUAUUUUAGGGUUUUUUUAGUUGAUGGAUUAGUUUAUAGACAAUCUAAAAGUGUCUAUUAGAUAUUUUUAGAUAAAAAUAUAUUAAAAAAUAAAUUUUAAAAUAAAAAACAAUCCAAUUCUUCAUCCACCUUUCCAAUGAUAGGAAAAUUAAGCAAGUAAAAUGAUGUGUCAUUUACUUUAUUUAAAGAAAAAACAAUAAAGGAUAGAUGUUAUGUCAUCCAUCAAAGAAAACAUAAAAAUAUAAAAUGGCUCUUCCAUCUUUUGAAUAAUUGAGCCAUUUGGCCCCACAAACAUGGCUUGUUUUGGGCCAUUAUUUUUAAAUUUUUGGAUCUUUAUCCUUGAGUUUUAAUUUUAUUUCAUUAAAAUUAAUUAUUUAAGAACACAUUAAGGAUGUUAUUUUAAUAAAUACUUAAAUUAUUAAAAAUAUACAUGAGAUAUUAUUUUAUUAGAUACCAUUUAAUUUUUACUUUGUUUUUAAAUAAAAUUAUAAUAUUUUUUUUAUAAUAUUAGUAAGGGUUUUUUUGGCAUAACCCAUCAUGAUCUUUCUUAUCUUUGCACAUACGCUGUCAAAGACUAUAAUAAUAGAUUCCAUGAAAAAGAAACUGCGAGAACAUGAAACAUGCAUUUGAACAUGAAAAGGUAAAUAAGCUGAACAUAAUUAAUGGGCCAUAGAAGCGAAGGUUUUUUCAAUGGCUUCAAACUUCUUGGCAGCGUGCUUCAUUGUUGUCGCCGAAUUUCUUCGCAGUGUGCUUGCUUGAAACGUGGAUGUAUCACAUGGAUGAUAUUUUCGUUCUUUGGACAGGAGUGAUAAGCAUUUUCCUUUAGGAAUGACAAAAACCUCAUAACAAGUGAUUGAAAUUUGAGAACAACCAUCAACCAUGGAUUCCCAGGUUUCAAAUGGGUCACAGGAUUCACAUAAACACAGCCAAUCCGGUUAUUUAUGUUUGGUAUCGAAAUACAAGACAUGAAAAUCCUUCAGCAACACGCCUCUUAAUUAGAUAUCAAUAGCAGGAAAGACAUCCACUAUCUUCACACACAUGCCACAAACACCUUACAUCGCAAACUUAUUACGGCAGAAACCCCAUAAAACCAGAUACCAGGUGCGCUUGCCCGCUUAAGCUCUGCGGCACACAUCACCAUCGCAGAUCCUUCCUUCCUUUCCCUUUUCAGUUCCAGUAUCUUCAUCUUCCUUCAAAGCACACUUAGGGUGAAGAUCAAAGUCACAUUGUUUGCAAUAGAAAGACCAACCAUGUCCUGUUCCACGACAGCCAUUGCAAACAUAUGCUUUGCGUUUAGUACGAAUCAGCUCAUGCUCAGUAUGAAGUUCGUGUUUCACUUUCUCUGGCCACCCCUUUGCCUUUUCCUCAAGCUCCUCCUCCAAUUGCUUUAGAUGUUCCUCGGUAAAUGGAAAAGCAUCUGCCCCGUAAGCUGUCAAGUGCAUCCGAGCUUCCUUGGUAAUGGUCCGGCCACUUGGGCCAAUCGCUACAGCUGCAGGAAUGCCUUGAAUUUUGAAUUUCCGACUCAGGAUUUGUUUCCUUUCAUCACCAAAUGGAAGGGCUAACCAAGGCAUUUCUGAAUAGAACUCGUCAAAGGUGGAUUGAUCGCUGUCACUUGAGAUGAAGAUCACCUCAAAUGCAUUGUCUUUUGCUUUAAUUGUGUGGUAUGCUUCAAUUAGCUUGGGUAAAAAGGCACGACAAGGAGGGCACCAUUGAGCUGAGAAGUAAAGAAGAAUGUUCUUUCCAACUAGAUCAGACACUCGGACCUAAUCAAAGAGCAAACCAUUUGAAUGAUAAAAAUACCUUUGCUAAUGAAUUCAAUUCGAGAUAAUAAGCAAGUUAUUGAAAGUAAUGCAAUAACAACAUGCGAUGUUAGCACAGAACAAAAAAUUACCUUGGAUCCACUUUUGUCAAUCACAAAAUCAUUUUCCCCAUUAACCAAAACUGACUCAAGCGUCUGCGAUUCCAGUUUUGCCUUUUCAAUUUCAGCUAGCUCCUCAAGCUUUUCCGGUGUAAAUGGGUAGGCUUCAAUUCCAUGGUCUUCGAUGAGUUCAGCUACAUUUGGGUUCAAAGUCUUCCCAUCUUGGCCAAUUAUGACAAGAUUAGGAAUGGUUCUAAGUUCAAAAUACCGCGCUAGCUUCUCGCAGCUCUUGUCCUUAAACGGCAAUGCAAACCAAGGCAUUGUCUCAAAACUCUCUUUGAAGUGUUUUUCCUCAGAGUCUAGAGAUAUUAGGACUACUUCAAAGUUCUCUCCUUUUUCCUUGAGCCUCUUGUACAAUUCCACUAGUUUAGGAGUGAAUUCACGGCACAUCCUAUGAGCAUGGAUUGAGAAAUACAAGCCAACCAAUUUUCCUUCAAGGUCCAACACAGGGAUCUGCCAUUACAGAUAGCAAAAAUGUAAAUUAUGGCAUCAUCAUUAAAAAUAGCAAAAAAGUGAAUGAUGGCAUCAUCAAUUCAAUUUCAAAACUAGCUAAUUGAAUGAGCCAUCUACCUUUUUUCCAUCAUUUGAAAUCACAUAAUCACGUGAGCUUGAAACCAAGAUAGAGCUUAUGGUUUGAUUCUUCUUAGCAUUCUCUUCUUGCUCUUUCAGGAAAUUCAGUCUAUCAAGGUUGAACGGAUACCCAUCCACGCCAUGUUCCUUGACAGUGCUGACUCCAUCAUCGCAGGAAACCUUGCCAUUCGUAUCAAAAAUGACAAGAUUAGGGAUCCCUCUUACUUUGAACACUUCCUUAAGACGUUUGCGGGUCUCCGUAUCAGAGAAGGGAAUAGCAAGCCAUGGCAUUUCGGAGAAGUACGUGUUGAAGGAUUCAUCAUCUCUGUCAGAAGAAAUGAAGACCACCUCAAAGUCCCCUUUGGAUGAUAGCUGUUCAUAGACUUCUACCAACAACGGAGUGAAAUUACGGCACGGCCCGCACCACGAACCAGAGAAGUAGAAUCCCACAAUCUUCCCAACCAAAUUGCUGACCUUAACCUAAAAAUUAAUUUCGAAAAUUAUCAGAAAAAAAAUCAGCCCUUAACGAAUCAAAAUCUUAUUCAUGGUUUCUUUCUCUUGCCAGUGAGAGAUGCAACAAAAAAAAAGAGCUUUUUCUUAAUCAUAAAAGCUUCAGAAAUUGGUCAUAAAUUUGUUCUUCAGCAAGGCUUUGCAGUCUAAUUUAAACAUGAUAUGCAUCUUAAUUACUAGAAAAACCUACAAGUUCAUAUAAAAAAAGACGUCAACUUAUAAUAAGACAAGAAGAAGUAGAAUUGAAUAAGAUCAGAGAAACUCAUAUGCUAAAAGCAGUACCUGAUCACCAUUGUUGCGGAUGAGAAAGUCCCUCUCUUCUGAAGAAAGAAGCUUUGAAAGGUCGAGAGAAACGUCUUCGGUGGCCAUAGCUAGCUAUGUGAUGAACUACUCAAAAGGCUAGAACAAUUGCCAAUCCCAGUUGCUGUGUAAUGGAACUUCCAGGCUAAGGCUCCUUUAAAGUACCUGCUCGCCCGGCCUAGGAAAUUAUUAUUCUAAUUAGUCAACGACAACUUCAAGGCUUGGUGUCGGGUGAUGACGAAGACCUUAUGACGUAGGUCCGCUGAAGUGGUAAUUCGCAUUAUUACGUGCUUCUAGAAAUCUCCUCUUGCUUUUUUAGCUUUUAUUUUGAAUAACGCAGACAUGCUGAGUCACUUGGCCCAACAAACAUGCCUUGUUUUUAGCCUCUUUUUUUUUUUUUCUUUAUCUUUAUCCUUAAGUUUUAAUUUAAUUUCCUUAAAAUUAAUUAUUUAAAAACAUAUUAAGGAUGUUAUUUUAGUAAAUACUUAAAUUAUUAAAAUUAUAUAUGAAAUAUUAUUUUAUUAAAUAUCAUUUAAUCUUUAAUUUAUUUUCAAAUAAAAUUAUAAUAUCAUUCUUAUAAUAUUAGUAUGAAUUGUUUUUCACAACCCAUCAUGAUUUUUUUUUAUCUGUACAUAUACGUUGUCAAAAAAUAUAAUAAUAGAUUCUAAAAAACAAUUAAGGAUACUAUUGAACUAUAAAAUGAUAAUUGAUUAAGAGCAUAUUAAAAAAUGUGAUAGAAAUUGUAUUUUAAAAUAGUUUUUAUUGGAAAUAUAUUAAAAAAUAUUUUUUUUAAUUUUAAAAAAUUUAUUUUUGAUAUCAAUAUAUUAAAACAAUCUAAAAUACUUUAAAAAUAUAUUAUUUUUUUAAAAUUUAAGCAAAUAGUAUUUUAAGCAGUACUAAACACCCCAUUUUACUAUAAACAAAAUCAUCAUAUUUUUAAUCUAUUUAUCACAUCAUGAAACAUCAUGAUGAUUAAUUAGCAAACACAACACCACCGUGUAGAAACCAUGUGUGACACUUCAAAUUCAUCGUAACAAAUUGAUCAAAUUAUAAAAUAAUCCUUAUACUUCUAAGAAAUUAGUAGCUCACUCCCUUUAUUUAAAAGAAGCCAUAUUUUACCUCCAUGUUAUCAUUUCCAUUUACUAUAACUUAGUUCUUCCUUUAGUUUUACAUUGUAAAAGUGCUAAACCAUCAUUUUAGGUAUUAGUUAAAAAAAAGUAUCUAUUAACAGAUUGACGGUCAAAGCUUCUCAAUUGAGUAACUUUUUUGUUUUUAAAAAACAGAAGGACUAACAUGUUGGUCUAUUGAAAAUGUAAGGAUUCAAUUAUAAUUUAAUUCAAGAAACAAAUAUGAUGCUAUUGACAUGUCCACAAGUCCACUGGCACAAUUAUUGCUUAUAACCCAUCACCUAUCAAUAGUGAUGGGGGAGGGGGGGGCCAGAAGUGUCCUUCUCCCGUAGGGUAAAAGCCCAGCAGUGUCCUCCCCCAUCGUAGGGUGGUCCAAACACAAGAUGGCUAGAGAUACUAAGAACCUGUUUGGUAUUGCGGUAGCUAUUAUGGUUGUGAUUUUAAAAAAGUUAUUUUAUAAAAAUUAUUUUUAGUUAAGGUUGGUUUAAUAAAAUAGGUGUUUGGUUAAAAUUGUGGUUGAAAUUGAGGUUGAACAAAAAGUAGUUUAAUGUGUUUGGUUAAUAAUGCUUUUGAAAUUGAGGUUAUAAAAUAAUUUUAAAAAAUAUAUAUUAAUAUUGAUGUUUUUUAAUUUAAAUAUUGUAGAUUUAACUAUUAUUAUUACAUCAUGAAAUAAAUCAUACUUUAUAUAAAAUAUUUUUUAUUGAUUCAUUAAACCAUCUACAUUUCUAUCACGUACGAAAUACAUCCGACAAGAACUACAGUUUUCAUAAUUUUUUAGCGUGUAAUAAAAUUAGAUAAAAUAUUAUCAUGUAUAAAACUAGUUUUUUUUUAAAAAAAAUGUUAAAAAAAUUAACACACUAAAAAAAAAGUGUCCACACAGUGCAAGUGAACAAUGCAAGAGAAUUGCACUGUUCACUAUUUUUAAGUGAACAGUGCACUUUUCUUGCACUGUUCACAUGAACAGUGCAUCACUAUGCACUGUUCAUGUUAAUUGAACAGUGCAAUUAACAUGAAUAGUGCAAAAAAAGUAAGGAAUUCUUGCUUUUUAAAUACUGCGUUUCCAACACAAAAAAGAAAUAGGAUCCAGUAAACAGUAUAUCUUUUUUUUUUAAUCAAACAACUACAAUUACGUUUUAAAUAAAACGCAACCGCAGUCACUGUGAUAAAAAUUAUUAUUAUCACCAUUAUUACCAUCAUAAUAAACUAUUAUUUUUAUUUUUAUUGCUGUUAUUGUUACUCUUAUUAUUAUUAUCAAAAAAUUUAUCAUCAUCAAUAAUAUUAUCACACCUAUUAAUAUCAUCAUCAUAAAUAAUAUUGUUAUUUUCAUUAUUAUUUUUAUUACUACUACUAUCAUCACUAUUUUUAUAACUAACAUUACUAUUAUUAUUUUUAUUUUUAUCACCACCAUCACCACCACAAGUCCACAACCACCACCACCACCAUUAUUGAAAAAGAAAAAACCUUAAACUUGAUUUGAAUAGAAUUGAAAACUAUAAAUUUUUUUAUAAAAAGACUAGGAAAAACAAUAAGAAAUUAAAAGAAUAUGGACCAAAUUGAAAUCAUUAUUAUUAUCAUUGGCAAAAUAAAAAAUUAUAAACUUGAUUUGAAGAAUAAAACUGAAAGUAAUAAAAACUUUGAUAAAAAAACAAAGAAAAAAAAUUAAAAAUUAAAAGAAAAGAAGACCGAAUAUAUACAAAUUAAAAAUCAAGGGUUAAAUUGAAAAAAAAACUUUCCCAAAAGGAAAAAUGAUCAAAAUACCAAAAUCAAAACUAAAAGAACUGAAUUUGAAAUACCAAUAACAAUGAGGUCCAUAGUGCUUUUCGGGGGGCAGGAAAAAAAACAAAAGGAAAAAAAAAGGAUCACUAGCAAUAAACCAAAUAUAUUUUAACUACACAAGCCACCUAUUAUAAAAGAGGAGACAGUGAGACAUCAAAUUACACAGCAGAAGGACAAUUUUUAUCAUUGGGAGUCGCUGCAUGCACCGUCCAAAUUACACAACAGCUCCCAUGUGAUGGCUCGUGUUGUGCACGUAGCAACAACUUUUUUAAAAUAAAAAAAUAUUAUUUAAAUGUUAAAUUGCAUUACUAUCCUCAACCAAAUCAACAAUUAACAAAAAAAAAAACAAGAGUAAAAGACCCUAAUACCCUUGAUCCCAAUGAAUUAAUUUUUUUAGAUCCAAGGGUACAUGUGUAAUUUCACUAUGUAUUAAAAAUAAAAAAUACCUAUAUACUCCUAUAUGAAACUAUUGAUUUUUUUUACUCCUAGAGGUAUUUUUUUUAUUUUAUUUUUCAUUAAAUAUUAAAAAUAUAAAAAUGCCCUCAAACAAACCUCUAAUAAUUAAUAUUCUGUGUGAAAUUACCAAAAUACCUCUGAAUCAAAGGUAAAUAAUUUUUUUUAAGGCUAUAGACAUUAUUUCACUAUUGUAAUGGAUAGUAAUAUGACUCUAUAGCCAUAAUGAAUUUGCCUUUUUUUUAGUAUUUUUUUUAUAAUUAGUCAACUAUACUUCAAGACUUGGCUGGUGUCAGGUGAUGACAAAGAUAUAAUGAUGUAUAUUAGAUGCUUAUAUAAAUCUCUUGUUUUUUUAAAAAAAAUGAAAAACAUAUUCCAUUUUGUAAUCUUUUUUUUUUCCGUUUGUAUCAUAGUUUUUAAACCCGACCUGGUGGUCGACCCAGUAUAAUAAUUGGGUCACGGGUCAGAUGGGUUGACUCGGGUUAAUAAAAAAAAAAAUAAUUUCUUGCUUGCCCUUGGACUAAUAAUAAUAAUAAGCAUCAUUGAAAAAAAGAAAAGUUUCUAGAGAAUAACCCUGCUUGCCACUCAUGUUUGACCAGAUCCAAAACCAAACAUUGAUUGCCCUUAUAUAAUUAGCACAAUCACCCUCACAACACAGUACACACAAAUCCCUACCCCGCUCUUUACAAACCACCUUCCCGCCACCUCCACAGCCACCACAAGCCCACCAUCACCUUCUCAAUUUUGGGAUUCAAAGUUCCUUCUCAAAGGCGUAGAAGAGAUUACGAAAUACAAGAGCAAUGCCUACCUUCACAACCACAACUAUUAUGUCAUCUCAAAGCAGCAACCUUAGUCUCCACAAACUCAAGAUUAACCCAAAAACACAAUCAAACAUAGUCACAAUUGGUGGGUGAAUUUUUCAAACAACAGACUAAACCCUAACUCAAGCAGAUCUGAAAUCCCUCUUUUCCUAACUCUCCAAGCUGAAUCAACUUGUUCCCUAUUUCAUCAAUCGAGACCCUAAUUUAUUCUCUAUUCUCUUAUCCCUCUUGAGAACCGGAAAUCUCCCCUCAAAGACCAAGUUUUCUGUGAAGAGUCAAAGUUUUACAAGAUUGAAGAGAUUAGUUUUCUGUGAUUCUGUAUUUAUGUUACAAAUGAUUUGAAGCAAAAGAAUUAAUUUGAUUGCUGCAACUCUCAUCUUAAUUUAUUAGAGAAGAAAAAUCGAGCUAAAACCGUGAAGCCUAGUUUAAAUGAACGAACAAUUAACUUUUAUACGUGGGAUCUUGCACGUGAAGCCUAGGAAAGGGCAAUGGCCAAAUAGAGAGACCCUGUUUUUAGAGGGGAGGAAAAUAGAAUUUUUAAAUACAAUAACUAUCAUUUGGCAAUUAACGGUAUCUUCUGAGUUGUGACUUUUCCGCAAUCAAAAGCACAAUUGAUUUUUAUUAAGUUUUUUUAAAAAUUUCAACUCUCACCCGCACAAUAAUAUUUUUAAUAAUCAAUCCAUCUCAAAUUAUUAAAAAAAAUUAAAUACAAAAUAAAUUCUAAGUAAUUUUGAAAAAAUAACAAAAAAAUUCUAAAUAAAAUAAAAAAAAUAUCUUAAUUCAAUUAGGUAAGCAUAAUAGCUUAUGGUUUUUUUCGUAAUGCCUUCUCAAUAUCUAAUUGAUAUUAUAUUUUAACUUUAUAUGAAAUUUUUUACUCAAUUCAAUAAUCAAAUCAAAAGUUAUAUCUAUUAACAUAAAACUAUAUAUUAGAAAAACAAGCUCAAUUCACGUGUGAGUAGGAAAAAAAAUUGAAUCCAUAAGUCUUGUAAUAAAUAAGACCCAAAUAUCUUAAAUUAACCAUUAAAUGCCUUUUUAACCUUCUUAGCUCCUAACUCCUAACUUUUUAAUAGAUCCAAUUGGCACAUGUAUUAGAUCAUGUAGUAUUGCUUGAUAAGUCUCAACAACAAUUUUUCAAUUCAUCCAAAUUGAUAAGAAGAAAAAUAAAUGAAAUAUGGAAAACCACUCUCUAUAAAGAAAAUGACAAUAAAAUCUUCCAUCAAACUCUUAACCAUCUCAUUGCAAAAAACCCUCUCGUCGGUCGUCGAAACCACCAAAAUAUAAUUCUGACUUAAUUAUCACAAACAAAAUAAAUUUAUAGUAUGAUCGUGAAAACCAGGUCAAACUCAAGGAAAAUUUUGUUUAAUCUUCCUACAAUAUACUGAAAUGAGAAAGAAUGAGAGAUUUGGAUGAAAAAUUCAAGAAACAAUAAUUCUGAAAAUAAUAAAUUGAUGUCGUUAAAUCAGUUCAAGGAUCCACACAUUCAUUCCUAUAAAUCUGUUGAUCAUCGAAGUAAAAUAAAUAUUCUUUCGCAUCAAACAAAUAAACUCGAUAUCCCUUAAAGCUGAGGAAAAUCGAUGAGAUUAUAAGUUCAUUAAUUAGAAAAAGCUCUUUAAUUAAUUUCUUACCAUCAAAGGAAUGUAAUAUUGAAAGCAAUUUUCAUUUACUCGGUAGUAGUCUUAGAAAUAAAAUCUAUGCAUUUAUUCUAAGCAAACAUUCAAAAGAUUGACAAUUUUAACUUAGUUUAUUCUUCUCUAAUAAAUUAAGAUGAGAGUUACAGCAAUCAAAUUAAUUCUUUUGCUUCUUACUCUAGUUCCUAACAACAAUUACGGAUUGAAAAAAACUAGAAAGCAUACAUGCCAUCUCAAAACAAUUCAAUAAGCUUGAAUAACAAUCAAUAACAUAAUUCUGAACAAGAAAAAAUGAAUACUUGAAUAUGAUAGAAUUACAAUGAUAAUGUUACUUCUCACAACAUGUUAAUGGAGAUGGUGUGUAUCCCUCUUGAACCUAAUUCAGGAGUUUAGUUCAUAGUUGCUGAAAAAUUGACAAAAGCAGAGAAGAAAGGAAUGUUUUUCGACUCUUGUUUCAGCUGUGUUCUGCUUUCUUUAUCCUCCCCAUAUGCUACCGAAAUCUUCAGGAUUCUUAAACUAAUUAGGAGUCUUCAUGAUAUUAAAUUCGUUCCUUCUUUAUCUGGUCUUUAAGGUUGGAUAAAUCUCUCAGAAUUUAUCUUGAAAUCUGCUUCUGCUGUUAUCAUAAUUUUAUUGUAAUACCAACUCUGUUGUAAUUUAGACUUCGAUUCUGACUUGGUUUCUUGUAAUAUCCGACCAUUCCAACUAUAUUCUUUCAUUCAUGACAUGUUAAAGGCUUGAUCUGCACCUUUCUUGGGUCCUAAGACCCAUCUUUUUUAUGUCAGACUCUCAGCCUUAUUGGGAUACUCGGCACCAUUAGUUUCCAAAUCAGAUCAGGGGACCCAUUUUGACCAACCAGAUUGUGUCCAUAUUCUGUCCUUCAAAUCGAUUUUAUCUAACUUUAAGUCUUUCAUGAAAGUUGUAAUCCUGGAUGUGUAGAUGAAUUUUGGUUUUGAAUCACCUACUUUCGAUAUCAAAAACUCAAGAUAUUCCCGUUUGAAUCUCUAGUGUAAAAGCAGAGAAUCCUGCUGCGAGAAGAACUCUGGCCCGAGUUUGCAGGUCUGAUUCGAGGUCCAAAUGAGAUCGGAAUUUUGCCCAUAAUACUUUCCUGGAAAGCUUGACACGUGUACUUCAACUUAGAAUAGCCCACCUUCUCAUUUUAGAACUCUAACUUGACAAAAAACUUGUCACAAGAAGCUAGGUCUAAAACAUAAAAUGCAAAAUUUCUUAUGUUUUAACGAUUAAUUCACGAAGUCUCUUCUGCAUGUCAAACUCAUAAAAAUAACUUCCAAUCAACUCAAAUAAGUUCAAAAUACAUUAAAAAGCAUAGUGCAAAUGGAAUAAAAACUAUGUAUAUUUUGCACUUAUCAUCCUUACAAACAUAGCAUAAGCAGUUAUCUCAAAUUUCAUACCAUUAUUUUGUCAAUUUUUUGCACAAUCAAUAUCCCUGACAUGACUUGAUGUCAAACUUGUUGUUAAUGACUUAAUAGAUAACAAGACUAAGAAAUUUUGAUCUUUCAUCUUCAUAAUUUUGAAAAUAAAUCUAUUAAAAAGUUAUGUAUGUUAUGUUGACAAGUCAACAAAACAAUGCAUAACUACUGAGUUUUUCAAACUAAAACUCCAUAGAUAUAUACAUGUGAAAUCCCCGAUGCUAAAUGAAAUCAUAAAAGAAAGAUCUCAUAGAGUAAUUUCCAGGAACAUUUUUCAUGCAAUAAAUAAAGUAAGAGGUUGGUAUUUUUGUGUGUGUGUAUUUAGUCAUUUAAAAGUUAGAACAUAAUAAGAUUAAUAGACAAUGCAUUACAGUAAACUAGCAAUUGGUAAACUCAAAAGAUGCAAGACUUUCCACAAUGCCUCUGGUCUUCGAUUUCAGUAAAUAUCCAAGGCUACAAAACACAUUGAAUAUUAUUCUAAAAGAAAAUCUUGAUUUUAAGGAAAUGAGGAUAUGAUUUGGUAACAAUUACUUAAAAUGUUGAAAUUAACAAGUCAAAGCUCCAUACUCUUAAUUUUAGAAACCGUUUCAAUUUUUUUUUUGCUAAAAUUUAAUAUGUAUUAUAUGUUUUGAAUCGUUUUGAUGUACUGAUGUUAAAAAUAAUUUUUUAAAAAUGAAAAAACAUCAUUGGCAUGCAUUUCAGCAUAAAAAGUUAUUUGAAAAGCAACCGCAACCACACUGCAAAACAUACCCACCAAUGCAACUUUAACUAUCAUGCAUGAAGAAAUCUUAGGGCAAUUAGACUUGCGUUUAUUCAAAUCUACAUAUGAAAAAAAAAUCCCCAUUUCCUAAAACUCGCAAAGAUCUAGCACUUUGAUGCAUUAUUAUAAAUCCAAAUCGGCAAGCUUGCUAUAACAUUGCUUACAUGAUCGCCCAUGAAUUAUCACAGCAAUUAGCUCCCUAGUUUCCAAUAUUCGCAAUUAAUGAGUCAAUAUGGUUUUUUCCUUUGAAACAACUUGUCCACGUGAAUCACAUCUGCAUAAGAAAAGACAAUAUAAGCCAUAAAAAUUGAUCUAUACCAUAACCAGUCCUGAUAUUGACAAAGGAAAGUUAAAGGCUACAUUUGCAAGCUAUAUUCAUCAAACAUGUUACAACGUGUUGAAUUAGUAAGAUGUAAAUCCUUUAGCAAAGAAAACAAUAAGAUGGUUAAACAUGCGGGCUUGCCGAGCCACCUUUACCUGUUUUAAGUCUUUAUUUUUAUCUUUUGGAUAUUUUCCUUAAAUUUUAAUUAUAUUUCAUUAAAACUAAUCAUUUAAAAAUAUAUUAGCUUAAAUUAAUUAAGAAUAUAUUUGGGGUAUUAUUUUAUUAAAUAUCAUUCAAUUUUUACUUUUCUUUAUACAACCUAUCGUGAUUUUUUUUAAUUUAUUCCGACGAGUAAUUAUUUUUAUUAUGAUAUAAUUAAAUGAAAAAUAAGCUUAAAAAAUAGAUUUAUUAAACCAAGCUAGGUUUAAUAUGGGUUGAACCAAGUCAAUUCAAAAUAUUAUCAUCUUAAUAUUAGAAAAACAUCACCAAUAAAUUUCACAUAAUAACACGCAAAUAGUAUGUUGUUCUUAUGUUUUGUUUCAAUUGAAUUUAAAUUGUUUCUCUUCUUCUAAAAACAUUAUUGCCAUAUAAUCAAAUAAAAAAAACUAAAGAGUUAUUAAUGAUUUAAAAUAAGAUAUAUAUAUAUAUAUAUAUAUAUAUAUAUAUAUUUAUUAGCUUCCUAAAUUAUUUUUUAGUUAAUGUUAAUGAUUUUUUAACAUUUAUUUGCAUAUAAUUUUCAAUCAAUUUUACUAGAUAAAUAUAUGGAGUUCAUAAUAAUUAUUUUUAUUAGAAAAUUUAUUGAAAAUAUAUAAUGUUCUUUUUUAAAAUUAAAAAAAAUAAAAUUAAGUUGACAUGUGCCGGAGCGCAAGCCUCCUAGCCGCUACUCUUCACUGGGACCAUUGAGUGGUUGGUCUAGAUAAUAUCGAUGUCGUCGUUGUAGUUUCCUGAGUCACUGGCUCUUCAAGAAUAAAUUAUUAGCAUACAUAAUAUCGAUGUCGUCUUUGUAGUUUCCUCGACGCGUCACUGGCUCUUCAAGAAUAAUUAUUAGUAUAGAUAUUUUUAUGUUUUUAAAAUAUUUUAAAAAAAAAUUAUUUUUUUAUUUUAAAUUAAUUUAUUUUAGUGUUUAUAGAAUUGAUUUGAUGUGUUAAUAUUAAAAAUAAUUUUUUAAAAAUAAAAAAAUUGUUUUAUUAUAUUUACAAGAUAAAAAUAUUUUCAAAAACAAUUGUAAUUAUAUUUUUAUAAGCCCCAUAUAUUCACCUAGCUAUAUGUUGUUUGAGAGUGGGUACAAAUAAAGAUUUGUUAAAAAUUAAUUUUUUAUUUUAUUUAAAAUUAAUUUUUUAUUUUUAGAUUAUUUCAAUAAGUUAAUAUCAAAAUAAAUUUUAAAUAAUAAUAAAAUAUUAUUUUAAAGUAUUUUUACAUACCUUGUACUAGAUUCACAGUAUCAAGAGAAGAAGGGUUGCUAGUUGCUACCGGAGAAGUUAGUUUCAUUGAUUGAUGGAAUGUUAUACUUUAGAAAUCAAAUAAUAUGGUGUCACGAGAAUUAAGCAAAUAGAAAAGCAUUAAAUUUAUGGAAAUCCUUUCCUGUUCUGCGAGGGGAAGGAGUUAGUGGUCUUGAUGUAGUUGUUGGCUUUGCUAACUUUUCCUGUUUUCUAUUAAAGUGUGGUUGUAGUUAUUUUUAAAAAUAUUUUUUUGUGUUGAAAUAUAUCAAAAUAAUAUAUUUUUUAUUUUUUAAAAAUUAUUUUUAAAAUUAGCGCAUCAAAACGAUACAAAACACAUAAAAAAAUUAAUUUUUAAUAAAAAAAUAGAAAUUUCUAGAAACACAAUUUAUUCGCGUUCCGAAACGGUGCCAUAACGGUUGCUUGGAUUGGAAAUUCUUGUUUCUUUUACGGUGGAGUUACAAUGGUUUCAUUGUAUAAUGUUCGUUAAGUCACAAUCAGCCCAGUUUUUGUAUUUAAUCAGCAUUACAAUUACAGGAAUAUUUGCUCCAGAGGUGAAGCUGGUUCUUCAUCCAGCCAAAUAGAAACAAAGAGAGCGGCACAAUGGCAUCAUGCAUAGCAUUUUCCUUUAGGAAUGACAAAACCCUCAUAUCAAGUGAUUGAGCUAUGAGAACAACCAUCAACCAUGGAUUCCCAAGUUUCAAAUGGAUUCACAAAAACACACAGAGCUGUUUAUUUAUUUUUCGUAUCCAAAUACAGGACAUGAAAACCCUUUCAGCCUCACACUUCUUAGAUACAUAACGACAACAGGAGAGACAUCCCCACUAUAUUCACACACAUGCAACAAACAUCUUCCAUUGCAUACUUACUACAGCAGAAAGCCCAUAAAACCCGACACAAGCAGCGCUUGCCUGCUUAAGCUCUGCGGCACGCAUCUCCAUCGCAGUUCCAUCCUUCCUUUCCCUUUUCAGUUCCAGUAUCUUCAUCUUCCUUCAAAGCACACUUAGGGUGAAGAUCAAAGUCACAUUGUUUGCAAUGGAAAGACCACCUAUUUCCAGUUUCCCCACAGCCAUCGCAAAUAUAUGUUUUGCGUUUAGUACGUAUCAGCUCAUGCUCAGUAUGAAGUUCGUGUUUCACUUUCUCUGGCCACCCCUUUGCCUUUUCCUCAAGCUCCUCCUCCAAUUGCUUUAGAUGUUCCUCGGUAAAUGGAAAAGCAUCUGCCCCGUAAGCUGUCAAGUGCAUCCGAGCUUCCUUGGUAAUGGUCCGGCCACUUGGGCCAAUCGCUACAGCUGCAGGAAUGCCUUGAAUUUUGAAUUUCCGACUCAGGAUUUGUUUCCUUCCAUCACCAAAUGGAAGGGCUAACCAAGGCAUUUCUGAAUAGAACUCGUCAAAGGUGGUUUGAUCGCUGUCACUUGAGAUGAAGAUCACCUCAAAUGCAUUGUCUUUUGCUUUAAUUGCGUGGUAUGCUUCAAUUAGCUUGGGUAAAAAGGCACGACAAGGAGGGCACCAUUGAGCUGAGAAGUAAAGAAGAAUGUUCUUUCCAACUAGAUCGGACACUGGGACCUAAUCAAAGAGUAAACCAUUUGAAUGAUAAAAAAAACCUUUGCUAAUGAAUUCAAUUCGUGAUAAUAAGAAAGUUAUUGAAAGUAAUGCAAUAACAACAUGCGAGGUUAGCAUAGAACAAAAAAAAUUACCUUGGAGCCACUUUUGCCAAUCACAAAAUCAUUUUCCCCAUUAACCAAAACUGACUCAAGCGUCUGCGAUUCCAGUUUUGCCUUUUCAAUUGCAGCUAGCUCGUCAAGCUUUUCCGGUGUAAAUGGGUAGGCUUCGAUACCAUGUUCUUCGAUUAGUUCAGCUACAUUUGGGUUCAAAGUCUUCCCAUCUUGGCCAAUUAUAACAAGAUUAGGAAUGGUUCUAAGUUCAAAAUACCGCACUAGCUUCUCGCAGCUCUUGUCCUUCAAUGGCAAUGCCAACCAAGGCAUUGUCUCAAAACUCUCUUUGAAGUCUUCUUCUUCGUCGUCUAGAGAUACUAGGACUACUUCAAAGUUCUCUCCUUUUUCCUUGAGCGUCUUAUACAAUUCCACUAGUUUAGGAGUGAAUUCACCGCACAUCCUAUGAGCAUGGACUGAAAAAUACAAGCCAACCAAUUUUCCUUCAAGGUCCAACACAGGGAUCUGCCAUUACAGAUAGCAAAAAUGUGAAUUAUGGCAUCAUCAAUUCAAUUUCAAAACUAGCUAAUUGAAUGAAGCAUCUACCUUUUUUCCAUCAUUUGAAAUCACAUAAUCACGUGAGCUUGAAACCAAGAUAGAGCUUAUGGUUUGAUUCUUCUUAGCAUUCUCUUCUUGCUCUUUAAGGAAAUUCAGUCUAUCAAGGUUGAACGGAUACCCAUCCACGCCAUGUUCCUUGACAGUGCUGACUCCAUUAUCGCAGGAAACCUUACCAUUAGUAUCAAAAAUGACAAGUCUAGGGAUCCCUCUUACUUUGAACAAUUCCUUAAGACGUUGGCGGGUCUCGGUUUCAGAGAAGGGAAUAGCAAGCCAUGGCAUUUCGGAGAAGUACGUGUUGAAGGAUUCAUCGUCUCCAUCAGAAGAAAUGAAGACCACCUCAAAGCCCCCUUUGGAUGAUAGGUGUUCAUAGACUUCUACCAACAAUGGAGUGAAAUUACGGCAUGGGCCGCACCACGAACCAGAGAAAUAGAAUCCCACAAUCUUCCCAACCAAAUCGCUGACCUUGACCUAAAAAUUAAGAUCAGAAAAAAACAUCAGCCCUUGACGAAUCAAAAUCUUAUUCAUGGUUUCUUUCUCUUGCCAGUGAGAGAAGCAACAAAAAAAAGAGCCUUUUCUUAAUCAUAAAAGCUUCAGAAAUUGGUCAUAAAUUUGUUCUUCAGCAAGGCUUGCAGUCUAAUUUAAACAUGAUAUUCAUCUUAAUUACUAGAAAAACCUACAAGUUCAUAUAAAAAAAGACGUCAACUUAUAAUAAGGCAAGAAGAAGUAGACUUGAAUAAGAUCAGAUCGAGGAACUCAUAUGCUAAAAGCAGUACCUGAUCACCAUUGUUGCGGAUGAGAAAGUCCCUCUCUUCUGAAGAAAGAAGCGUUGAAAGGUCGAGGGAAACGUCUUCGGUGGCCAUAGUUAGCUAUGUGAUGAACUACUCAAAAGGCUAGAACAAUUGCCAAUCCCAGUUGCUAUGUAAUGGAACUUCCAGGCUAAGGCUCCUUUAAAUUACCUACACGCCCGGCCUAGGAAAUUAUUGUUCUAAUAAUUCAACGACGACUUCAAGACUUGGCUGGCGUCGGGUGAUGACGAAGACAUUAUGACGUAGGUCUGCUGAAGUGGUAUUCGCAUUAUCACGUGCUUCUACAACUCUCCUCUUGCUUUUUUUUUUUAAUCUCCUUUUUUUGUUUUUGUUUGUAUUCUAGUUUUAUCCAUGGUUUAAUAAUUUUUUUUGUGAGUUUGUUAUUAAAUGUAUUUUGUGUUUUAUCUUUUUAAUAAAAUCUUUAUAUUUCUUGAUACAAAAAAAUCCUUAAUUGGUUUUUUUAAUUAAAAAAUUAUUCUCUUUUGUUUUUGAUGCAUUUGAAAAUGAAUUUUUCUAUCAAUUUUUUUUCUAAUAUAAAUCAAUAAUCAUAUGUAAAGCAUAGUUGAAAUGAAUGAACGAACAAACAAACUAUAUACAUGACAUCUUACAUAGGAAGCUUAGGAAAGGAUGAAGGCCAAGAAUAAUGUAAAAUAAAACCUAUGCCUCCACUACCAAUAAUGUAAAAAUAAUUAUUGAGAAAAAUAAAUCAUAAAAAUAUACUUCCAGCUCUAGUCAUCCAAAGCUUCUUAAGUCUCAGAAAAAAAAAACAUUUAACACAAACCUCAAUAAAAUUCAAAUGCUAAUUAAAUUCAGAUUUUUGUAACGUAGUCUAUUUUCUAUCAAAUGUGACUUGAUAAUAAUCACAUGCAAUUUAAUAGACAGGCUAAAAUCCAAACUUGAUAUAGUUCUUGGGUUAUAAUAGAGUUUUUCAAUAAUAAAACUCUUAACUUUUUUUUUAUUUUAAAAAUAAUGAUAUUGCAUAUAUUUAAUAAUUAUAAAUAAAAUUAUAUUGUGUAUUUGAGCCACGUCAGGACUCUAUUUCAAUAAAGAGACCCUAUUUUUCCAGGGGAGAAAGAAAGAGUUUUUAAAUGCAAUACUUUGUCAUAAGUCGUGACUUUUCCACACUCAAAAGGGCACCAUACAUAUAUGUCAUUAUACUUUAUCUCCAAACGUAAUUAAAUUAGUCAAUUAAUUGUAAGUGAGGGAAGUUAAUGAAUUUCCACUCUAAAAUGUUCAAAUUCAUUAUCCGUUUUCAACUUUAUCCUGAUUAAAUCAGGUUAAGUAGAUUACUUUCUUCAUUCGUGGGUAUCCAUCAGAUAUCCUAAUCUAUUUUUUAAUUAAUUUUAUAAAAAUCAAACCUAAACUAAAAAAACAAAAUAAUGCUUUAUUUAUGAAUCAUAAAACUAUGAAAUUAAAUUAAAUAUAAAACCAAGAGAUCUGGUUAGUUUAGUGUUGUUGCAAUGUGAAUAAAAACUCAAAAUAUCACGGAUUGAAAUAGUGUUCUAGUUAUUUUUUGAAAUUUUUUUCAUUAUAGUUACCAAACACUUUUUAAAAUUUCUUUUAUCUUUGACAUUUCAUUAAUAGAGAAUUUGGACUUAUUGGUUGGUUUUGAUUGGUUUUCUAUAAUUUUUUUUUUGAAAAAUUAAAUGUCAUUAUAUUAGAGUGAUGUUCGAUUUUACAAAAUAGAAUCCUAUUUUAUUGCAUACAAAAAUUUAAGACUUAGGGGGGCCAAAAUUGAUAGUUAGCAAUGUUAAAGAAUCAUCUUAACCCAAUAGCUUAAGUUUUCAAGUGACGUUCCAAGAUAUGAUUUAUACUAUUCUCUAACACAUCCCCUCAAGUAAAAGCUCUUUGGUCUUGAAAUUUGCACAGACUCACAUUAUUUUGUGCUUAAUUUUUAUCAAAUAAAUAGGGAUGGUGAGAUUCGAACUCGUGACCGCUUGGUUAUCAAGGCUCUGAUACCAUGUCAAAGAACCUUCUCAACCCAAUAGCUUAAGCUUUCAUGUGAGGUCCCAGAAUAUAAUUUAUAUUAUUCUCUAACAAGUAAGAAUUUAAGGUUUUUUUAUUUGAUAAAUGUUCAUUUCACAUCAUUUUACUUUGAAAAAUUUAUAUUUUGAUCCAAAACUCUAUUUUAAUCACAUUUCAGACUAUGAGUUUUAGAAAAAAGAUAAAAAUUCAUUAAAAAUAGCGAAAGAGAGAGAAACACAUACACUGACAAGGUUUUGUUUGUGAAAAUAGCUUAAAUGUGUGUCAAUGUGUUAUUCUUGACAAAAAGAGUGCUACUAUAAUGUUUUUAAGCUUUAUAUUGUCAAAAAAGAUAAAUCGAGGUUGAGAGAAUUAUUUUUAAGUUAAACUUUGUGUUUUAAAAUUAUUUUAGAGUUUCUUUUUAGUUGAUGGAUUAGUUUAGAGACAAUUUAAAAGUAUUUAUAAGAUGUUUUUAAAUAAAAAUAUAUUAAAAAAUAGAAUUUUAAAUAAAAAACUCCAACCCAAUUCUUUAACCACUUCUCUAUUAUAAAAAAAAUAUAAAGCAAAUGAUGUGACAAAAAAAUAAAUCAAGCAAAUGAUUGUCAUUUGUUUUAUUAAAAAAAAAAAUAAAGGACAAAUACUAUGUCAUCCAUCAAAGAUAAAAUAAAAUGGCUCUUUCAUCUUUUGGAUAAGCAUGCCGAGUCACUUGGCCCCACAAACAUGGCUUGUUUCUAGCUUCUUUUUUUUUUUUUAUGAAUCUUUAUCCUUGAAUUUUAAUUUUAUUUCAUUAAAAUUAAUUAUUUAAAAACACAUAAGGAUAUUAUUUUAGUAAAUACUUGAAUUAUUAAGAAUAUAUACGAAAUAUUAUUUUAUUAGAUAUCAUUUAAUUUUUAUUUUAUUUUAAAAUAAAAUUAUAAUAUUCAUUAUAUAAUAUUAGUAAGAGAUGUUUUUUGGACAACCUAUCAUGAUAUUCCUUAUCUUUGCACAUUCGGUGUCAGAGACUAUAAUAAUAGAUUCCAUGGAAAACAUUAAGGGUAAGAUUCAAUUAUUAAAUGAUAAUCGACUAAAAUAGUGUUUGGAGCCGAUCUGUAUUUUUUAAAAAUUCAAAAUUAUUUUUAUUAAAAAUUAAUUUUUUUUUAUAUUUUGGAUCGUUUUGAUGAGCUGAUUUCAAAAAUAAUUUAAAAAAAUAUCAUUUUGAUGCAUUUCAGAAUAAAAAAUACUUUGAAAAGCAAUCGUCACCAUACUCCCAAACAAGAAUUAAGAACAUGUUUAAAAAUGUAGUAGAUGAUGAGUUUUAAAAUAUUUUUUACUCGAAAAUAUAUUAAAAAAUAUAUAUAUUUUUUAAUUUUUUAAAAUUUAUUUUUAACAUCAAUACAUUAAGACAAUUCAAAAACACUAUAAAAAAAAAUAAAUUUUAAACAAAUAAUACUUUGCCCCAUUUAACUAUAAACAAAAUCAUCGUAUUCUUAAUCUAUUUGUCACAUCAUGAAACAUGAUGAUCAUUAACUGGCAAACACAACACCAACACCAUUACGUAGAAAUCAAGUAUGAAGGGCUCGUAAAUCUAGUCGAUAUAUGUAUAAAUUAGCCCGAACAUUCACAUUAAUAAAAACAAAAAAUCAUGUGUGACACUUAAAAUUUAUCAUAACAAAUUGAUCAAAUUAUAAAGUAAUCCCUAUAUUUUUAAGAAAUUAAUAGCUCACUCCCUUUUUUUAAAAUAAGCCAUAUUUUACCUCCAUGUUAUCAUUUCCAUUUACUGUAACUUAGUUCUUCCUUUAGUUUUACAUUAUAAAAGUGCUAAACCAUUACUUUAGGUAUUAGUGAAAAAAAAAAAAAAGUAUCUAUUAACGGAUUGACGGUCAAAGCUUCUCAAUUGAGUAACUUUUUGGUUUUUAAAAACAGAAGGACUAACAUAUUGGUUUAUUGAGAAUAUGAGGAUUCAAUUAUAAUUUACUUCAGGAAACAAAUAUGAUGCUAUUGACAUCCCCACAAGUGAACUGGCACAAUUAUUGUUUAUAUAAAAUUUCAAAAUUAUUUAUUCUUAAUUUUAACAUUUUAUUUUUAAAAUUUUAUUGUAAUGAAGUGACAGAGUAUGCUAAGAGUAUACCAAAAUAAAACACUGUUGUUUUAAUAUAAAAAUUAAUUUACAGGUUGACUGGAUAGCCUUAUAACCUAGAUGUUUUUCGAAGUUAGUUUUGAAUGAAUGGAGUGUUAUUAGUUAGUUCAGCGUGAUAAUUGGACUGAAAAUCUUUCGUUCUAAAUUAUCAACCAUUCAGAAUUGUUUUGUGCGUGAGGAUGCCAAAUUACCAAAACUAAACCCUAUUUAUAAUCCAUCACCUAUCAAUAGUGAUGUAAGAGUUCCAGCUUGUUUUCUGCAGCUGUGCCAAAACCUGGAGGGUCUAUACUAGCCCAGCAGUCCUUCCCCCGUCGUAAGGUAAGAGCCCAGCACCAGCAGUGUCCUUCCUCCGUCGUAGAGGGGUCCAUACACGAGAUGGCCAGAGAUAGUCAGUGAUUUCGAAAUAUUCCUUUUCAGACUGCAACAAUUGAUAAGGUUUUGUGGCUGUCAUGGCGAAGGCAAAUUAAAGCACAUGAGAUUCAGUGGUGAGAAGCUAUGGAAAGUGGCAAAAAGAAACAGCGAGAACAUGAAACACGCAUUUGAACAUGAAAAAGUAAAUAAGCUGAACAUAAUUAAUGGGCCAUAGAAGCGAAGGUUUUUUCAAUGGCUUCAAACUUUUUGGCAGCGUGCUUGAUUGUUGUCGCCGAAUUUCUUGGCAGUGUGCUUGCUUGAAUUGCGGAUGUAUCACAUGGAUGAUAUUUUCGUUCUUUUGAGGCAUCAAAUAAUAUGGUGUCACGAGAAUUAAGCAAAUAGAAAAGCAUUAAAUUUACGGAAAUCUUUUCCUGUGGUCUUGGUGUAGUUGUUGGCUUUGCUAGCUUCUCCAAGCUCACCACUAAUCCUAUCUGUCCUUUGCGUCCCAUGAACUGAUACAAGCAAUAGCCUGCCCGUGAUUCUGGUUUAAUUGAUUGCAGACAUGUUCAUCAACAAACGCAGGUGUCCGCCCUCCAAAUAACUGCCAUGAACCCAGUUUCCACCUGCUGGGAUUUCAUUUGUCUUUCUUAGUUCUGAGUUCGAAUUAAUGCUGCUUUCUUGAUUCUGAAAUCCGCCUCAACAAGUUAUUUGAGAAGGCAAAGAGGGGGGAAAAUGACUAUCCAGUUGCUUGGAUUGGAAAUUCUAGUUUCUUUUACGGUGGAGUUACAAUGGUUUCAUUGUAUAAUGCUGGUUAAGUCACAAUCAGCCCAGUUUUUGUAUUUAAUCAGCAUUACAAUUACAGGAAUAUUUGCUCAAAUGGGUCACAGGAUUCACAAAAACACAGAGAGCUGUUUAUUUAUUUUUCGUAUCCAAAUACAGGACAUGAAAACCCUUUCAGCCUCACACUUCUUAGAUACAUAACGACAUCAGGAGAGACAUCCCCACUAUAUUCACACACAUGCAACAAACAUCUUCCAUUGCAUACUCACUACAGCAGAAAGCCCAUAAAACCAGACACAAGCAGCGCUUGCCUGCUUAAGCUCUGCGGCACACAUCUCCAUCGCAGACCCAUCCUUCCUUUCCCUUUUCAGUUCCAGUAUCUUCAUCUUCCUUCAAAGCACACUUAGGGUGAAGAUCAAAGUCACAUUGUUUGCAAUAGAAAGACCACCUAUAUCCCGUUUCCCCACAGCCAUCGCAACCGUAUGCACUGCGUUUAGUACGUAUCAGCUCAUGCUCAGUAUGAAGUUCGUGUUUCACUUUCUCUGGCCACCCCUUUGCCUUUUCCUCAAGCUCCUCCUCCAAUUGCUUUAGAUGUUCCUCGGUAAAUGGAAAAGCAUCUGCCCCGUAAGCUGUCAAGUGCAUCCGAGCUUCCUUGGUAAUGGUCCGGCCACUUGGGCCAAUCGCUACAGCUGCAGGAAUGCCUUGAAUUUUGAAUUUCCGACUCAGGAUUUGUUUCCUUCCAUCACCAAAUGGAAGGGCUAACCAAGGCAUUUCUGAAUAGAACUCGUCAAAGGUGGAUUGAUCUCUGUCGCUUGAGAUGAAGAUCACCUCAAAUGCAUUGUCUUUUCUUUUAAUUGUGUGGUAUGCUUCAAUUAGCUUGGGUAAAAAGGCACGACAUGGAGGGCACCAUUGAGCUGAGAAGUAAAGAAGAAUGUUCUUUCCAACUAGUUCAGACACUGGGACCUAAUCAAGAGCAAACCAUUUGUAUAAUAUAAAAAACCUUAGCUAAUGAAUUCAAUUCGUGAUAAUAAGAAAGUUAUUGAAAGUAAUGCAAUAACAACAUGCGAGGUUAGCAUAGAACAAAAAACAUUACCUUGGAGCCACUUUUGUCAAUCACAAAAUCAUUUUCCCCAUUAACCAAAACUGACUCAAGCGUCUGCGAUUCCAGUUUUGCCUUUUCAAUUGCAGCUAGCUCGUCAAGCUUUUCCGGUGUAAAUGGGUAGGCUUCAAUACCAUGUUCUUCGAUUAGUUCAGCUACAUAUGGGUUCAAAGUCUUCCCAUCUUGGCCAAUUAUGACAAGAUUAGGAAUGGUUCUAAGUUCAAAAUACCGCACUAGCUUCUCGCAGCUCUUGUCCUUAAAAGGCAAUGCCAACCAAGGCAUUGUCUCAAAACUCUCUUUGAAGUCUUCUUCUUCGUCGUCUAGAGAUAUUAGGACUACUUCGAAGUUCUCUCCUUUUUCCUUGAGCGUCUUAUACAGUUCCACUAGUUUAGGAGUGAAUUCACGGCACAUCCUAUGAGCAUGGGCUGAAAAAUACAAGCCAACCAAUUUUCCUUCAAGGUCCAACACAGGGAUCUGCCAUUACAGAUAGCAAAAAUGUGAAUUAUGGCAUCAUCAAUUCAAUUUCAAAACUAGCUAAUUGAAUGAAACAUCUACCUUUUUUCCAUCAUUUGAAAUCACAUAAUCACGUGAGCUGGAAACCAAGAUAGAGCUUAUGGUUUGAUUCUUCUUAGCAUUCUCUUCUUGCUCUUUCAGGAAAUUCAGUCUAUCAAGGUUGAACGGAUACCCAUCCACGCCAUGUUCCUUGACAUGUCUAACUCCAUUAUCGGAGGAAACCUUACCAUUAGUAUCAAAAAUGACAAGCCUAGGGAUCCCUCUUACUUUGAACACUUCCUUAAGACGUUGGCGGGUCUCCGUAUCAGAGAAGGGAAUAGCAAGCCAAGGCAUUUCGGAGAAGUAUGUAUUGAAGGAUUCAUCGUCUCCGUCAGAAGAAAUGAAGACCACCUCAAAUCCCCCUUUGGAUGAUAGUUGUUCAUAGACUUCUACCAACAGUGGAGUGAAAUUACGGCAUGGGCCGCACCACGAACCAGAGAAAUAGAAUCCCACAAUCUUCCCAACCAAAUUACUGACCUUAACCUAAAAAUUAGUGUCGAGCAUAAUCAGAAAAAAAACAUUAGCCCAUAAAUUAAGAGGGUAAACAAAAACUGAGGCUUUUCUUAAUCAUAAAAGCUCUAGAAAUUGGUCAUAAACUUGUUCUUCAGCAAGGGUCGCACUCUAAUUUAAACAUGAUAUCCAUCUUAAUUACGAGAAAAAGUUUAAUAAGACAAGUAGAAGUAGAUCGCAUAAGACCAGAGAAAUCCAUAAGCUAAAAGCAGUACCUGGUCACCAUUGUUGCGGAUGAGAAAGUCCCUCUCUUCCGACGAAAGAAGGGAUGAAAGGUCGUGCGAAACGUCUUCGUUGGCCAUUGUUAAGUGAUGAACUACUCAAAAUGCUAUAACAAUUGCCGAUUCCAAACGCUAUUUAUUGGGACAAACUGGGAUGGUUCCUUCUAAGUUACUUGCACAGCACGCCGAGUGAACUAUCAGACGUCAACGAUGACAUGUAAAUUUGGAUGGUGAUGACAAAAACAUCAUUCUCCUUAUCUAAAUACCAGCAGGUUCGAGAAACUGGUAUUAAACAUGCUUUCCCACGUGCAACACACCUCCUCUGGCUUUUUUUAUUUAAAAAGAAAAAGAAAAAGAAAAAGAAAAAGAAAAAGAAAAAACAUAUAUUUUUUUUAAUUUCUCUCUCUUUUAUUUUUUUAGUCACUCUUCACUUUUUACCUUUUUUUUUUUUUUCAAGAAUCUGAAUUCUAGGUUUCUUCUUUAAUUAUAAAAAACCUCUUAUGAUUUGAUUAUGUGAAAUUAUACUUUAUAUUUUUUAUCAAAUAAAUUUUUUUAAAUUGAUAAAAUAUCCAAAUUGUCUUUAUCUAUAAUAUAUGAGAAAAUCAAUUGAAUAAUAGAUCAUAUACUCACACUCUCUUUCUUGUCCUACUUUCUCUCUCUACAAAUCAUAUUCUCUCCCUUCUUUGACAACUAUUAUCAUAAUUUGUUUAAUCGGUCUGUUUUUUGUUCUCGUUUUGUGGGGAGUUCCUUCCUUUUCAUGUUUAGAACUCGACGAAGUUGGAAUCUUUUUCAUUGUUGUUAGUCCAAAGAUCACUAUUACAUAUGGUUUUAGUAAUUUUAAUGAUCACAACAAUUUAGUGAAUUUAAUAUGUAUAUGAAGAUUUGAUAUUAUAAGGAUUUUUCUACUAUGUCAAAUUAGAGCAAAAUAGAUUCUUUGGAUGUAAACUUAACUUUGGAUGCCUAAACUUAGAGUUAUGUAAUCAAGUCUUUACAUAAUUUAAUUUUUCACACAAAAAUGAUUUUUAUCCAAAAAGAUUCUUUAUUAUUGAAUUUUUACAUAUUGAAAAAUAGUUUACGAGAAAAUCUUUCAUAAAAUAUUUCAGAUUGUUACUAAAUUUUUUUUAGAAUGAAAAGUAUAAACUUAAUUAAAUGAUUUCUUGUGUUUUGAUCACACUAAACAUUUCUUGUUCAUUUUCAACUAAGUGGGUAGCUAAGUGAGUUGUGACUUUUCCAUACUCAAAAGUGCAUAAUACAACUAUGUCAUUCUACUUUGCUAAACACACCAAGCAUGUUUAAAUUUCUCAUUUAGCAAUAAUCAAUGGAAGGUAAUAAAAUAAGUUGGAUUUGAGUUUUACUUAAUUGUUCCAUCUAAAACAUCCAAAUUCAUUAUCCAACUCUGACCUAAUUAAAUUAGGUUAAAUCGGGGAUGAAAAAGUUUUUUUUUCAAGUUAAAUUUUAUGUUUUAAAACCAGUUUAGGAGUUUUUUGAGUUGACAGUAGGGGUUUUUUUUUGUUCGGUUUGGUUUUGGGAAAAAAAAAGAUAACUUCAUUGAAAUUUACUUUUUUAAGGUUUUCAACCCGAAAUCAGUUCAAAGCUAUCGGGUGCGGCUUGGUUCAGUCUUUUUUGUUUCAAAACUUGUUCAGAUCGACAUUAUUUCAAUUGAGAGUUUUUAUAAGCCUCGCUUUUUAGGUUUUUAUUACAAUGGAUCCAAGUUAUUUUUACUAUUUUUGGGUUUUUCAAGAUUUGUUUUGAAUUUUUUCAUAAAAGGUUUGAGUUGUUUUAUUACAAAGGCUUUUCAUGCCUAUAAAUAAUUAUAUGAAUUUUUACUUCAAUAUAAACAUACAUAGUUGAUGCGAAUUCGGAGAGUAAAACCCCUUGAACCCUCACACAAGAAAAAAAAUCCAAGAAAGCUAAAAUCAAGUUGAAAAGAACCCAACCUAGUGGUUAUCUAAACUAAAGAAUCAUAGUUAUUGGAUGAAAAAACUUAACCCAAUAAUUAUAAUGAACCACUAACUAAAGGUAUAAGGAUGAAACCCCAACCCGUUAAAUAUUGUAAUAAAUAACGAACUAAGAACUAUAGGUGUAAGGAUGGAUAUCAUAAAGAGAGUUGAUCUUUGAUAAGUUUUUUAAAAAGUUCCAUGAGGAACCAAGAGUAUAAGUAAACUCUUUCACACACAAUAAUAUUCUGAAUAAUCAAUCCGUCUCAAAUUAUUAAAAAAAACUAAAUAUAAGUUAAAUAACCAUAUUUAUACUAGGUAAAAUAAAAAAUGCUAAAAAAAUAACAAAAGAGUUCUAAAUGAAAUAGAAGAAAGAAUUCUAAAUUAAUUGAGAAACUAAUGCAAUUCUUGUAUAGUAGCUUUUGAUCUUUAUCGUAAGGCCUUAUCAAUAUUUAAUUGCUAUUAUAUUUCAACUCCAUAUAAAACAAGGAUUUUAGAAUCAUUAAGAAAAUUUGAAGCCCAAUCCACAUGUAAGCAGGAAAAUAAGUUGAAUCCGUAAGUCCUAUAGAAAAUAAAACUCAAAUAUCUUGAAAUAAUCACUAAAUAUUUCUUUAACCUUCUUAGCUCAUAACCUGGCACAUGUAAUUAAUCAUAUGGUAUUGCUUGAUGGUUUUAACAACAAUGCUUCAAUUCAUCCAAAUUAAUAACAAAAAAAGUAAAUGAAAUCUAAAAAGCUACUCUCCAUGAAAAGAUGACAAAAAAAGCUUUCAUCAAAAUCUUAACCAUCUCAUAAUUAUCACUCAUAAAUUAUCACAACAAGUAGCUCCCUAGUUUUCAAUAUUCGUAAUUAAUGAGUCAAUAUUCGUAAUUAUCACUCAUAAAUUAUCACUCAUGGUUUAUAAGGUGUUUUAUAGGUGUUUUGGGUCAAAACAGGUUUUUAGGUCAAAUGAGCAUAAACUCUGAUUUUCCGACAACCACAAUGGCUAGAACCUGGGCAAAACAGGUGUACAUGACUGUCACACCCAAGAGCAUUAAUUGGGUUUGGCAGUCAUGCCAAAUCCAAGGCACUUGGGGCAAGCAGUCAUAAAAGACUUAAGCGUCUUGGGUCAGGCAAGGAUUGAGUCUGACAGCGUUACCCUUGGGUCUGACAUGGUUGCCUGCCUAAGCACCUUGGGUCAGGCAUGGAUUGAGUGUGGCAGGCAAGCCAGACCCAAUCCAUGGGUUUGGUAUGGUUGCCAUCAUAGUUAUCAGACUCGGCUUGACCCUGCAGGUCAACUCAGGACCCGGGUGACCUAGGGCCUUAGCUAGGUAUAUUUCAUUUAAAAUUCAGGCCUGCAAUUGACCUAGAUAAAACCGGUCAUCUUGUCGGAUUAACCCAGAACUCGGGUGACCCAGUAAAACCCGGUAAAGACCUGUUUUUUUUUUUUCAAAUAUAUUUUUUCUCUUAGCCAGAGACCCAUUUUUUUUUAUAUUUUUUAGUUGUUUAUAACUCAUUUCAAAGUUCACUAUAUAAAUACUAGAAGAAUGUUUUUAUUUUUUCAAAGUAAGUUUUGAAGCCCUUUAGUAUAUAUAUUCUAUGUUCACAAUAAAAGGUUAUGUUUUUUCAAUGUGGGAUAAAAAACCUUUUUGAUUUAAAUAUUUCAACUUAAAAUAAUAUGAUAGUAUCUUGCAAAUGUGGGAUAAAAAACCUUUUAAAAUAACAUUUUAAACUUAAUUAUUUACAACAUGUAUAACCCAUAUCCACAUAGAUUAUUUCUUAAUUUUUUUCAUAUGAAAUAUUAAAACCUCAAAUAUUAUUUUAAAAUUUUUCUAAAUUGACCCGAGUCAGCCCGUGUAACCUGGGUCUCGGCUCCUGGGCCGGGUCAACCCUUGGGCCGAGUUUGAUAAUUAUGGAUGCAAUAAAAAUAUAACUUCAAAGAAUACAAUUAAAAAAAAAUAAAGUGACGUGACCGGUUAAAAAAAUAAAAACUGAAAAAAUGCAUAGAACCUCUUUUUUUUUUUUUGUUCAAGGAGCCUCUUUUAAAUAAUAUUGAUUUUUUUGUUACGUGUUUAAUUUUCGGAAUAGUUUUUUUGGUUCAUCUAUAGUUUUGUUUUUAUUUUUUAUAUAGAUAAACUGUGUUUUUGAAAAUAAAAAAUGUUUAUUUUUAGAUGAUAUUUUUAAUAUGAGUAGUUUUACAUGUUAUUUUUUUUAAAAAAAUUAUUCAAUUAAUUUAAUGUCUUAUUUUUCAAGAUUCAAUAUAUUGAUCUACAUUUGUCUCUCGGUUUUCUAAGUUUUGUUUUAAGAUGUCAUUAAUGAUUUUUUAUUGAUUUAUUAGCGCACGUAAUUCUUAGUUUAUUUGAUUACUUGUGUGCAUCAACUUUUUGAUUUAUUAUAUUUUUUGAAGUAUCAAAAUGCAUUGAAAAAACCUGCAUAAAUAAUGUUUUAUGAAAAAUAAAAAUAUCUAACUUGCAGUGAAGCACAUGACACGUAGCUAGCAAGUUCUAUAAAAUGAGUUAGCAAAGUAGAAAACAAACUUGUAAUAGAUUUGUGCACAUUGCCAUUUCACCAUAAGUUACAUUAGCUCUCAAAACUUUUACAUUAGCUCUCAAAACUUUUACAUUGAAACUUAUAAUACUAGAACUAACAAAACAUACUAGCAGAAAUAUAGUAAGCUUGCAACAAAAUAAGAAUCAAGACAUCAAAUUUCCUUUGUGCCUUUGAAACAUAAAAUGUAAAUUAUUAGGGCACAAUUAAUAAUAACUUAUAGGAAAUAAUUAAUCUACAUCAAAUAUGCUAAAUAACAUAAAUCAACUUUGUCAAACAUAAUUAUUGUGAACAUUGAUUUUUUUUUUAGCCCUGUUUGUUUCAUGAAAAAUGGUUUUUUAGAAAUUAUUUUCCAAACUUUUCUGUGUUUGUUUGUCAUUAGAAAAAUUGAUCAACGAAAAACACUUUACAAUAAAAGAAAAAUUUAGCUUGGUUUCUAGGAAAUUAUUUUCCUUUUAUUUUAGGUGGAAAAUACUUUUUAGAAGUUGUGAAAAUUUAGAAAUGUCUUGUUAUAUGCUGAUUAUAUCAAAUUUGAUCCUCAAACUUUUAAUUGUUAUAUAUUUUGUUUUGAUUUUUUUCUUUCAAUUUCAACCCUUAGAAUUUGAUUUAAUUUGAUUUUUAUAUCAAUCUUGGUCUUUAUUUUUAUAAUUGUUAUUUGCUUUUCUCUUAUCAUUUUUAAUUGAAAUUUUUUUAUCUAUCAAAUCUGGUCCUCAUUCUUUUGAUUGUUAUUUACUUUAUUUGAAAUAAUUUUUAAAAUUGUAAUUUUUUUUAAUUUCAUCCUCUUUCAACUUUUUUAUUUGUUAGAUUUGAUCUCUAUUAUUUUUAUUGUUAUUUAUUUUAUUUGAGAUAUUUUAUGAAAUUAGAUUUUUUUUUAAUUUUAUUAUCAUUCAACUUUUUAAUUUGUAAGAUUUGUUCCUUAUUAUUUUAAUAAACUUGAAAAAAAAUUAACAAUUUAUUUUUCAGUUUAUUUUUUAUGACAUAGUCAAAUACUUAAAAAUAUUUUUUAAUAUAUUUUUUAUGAUAUUAUCAAAUAUCAAAAUAUAAUUUACUUUUUAAAAAUUUAAUUUUCAAGAAAAUUACCUUUUUUAAAAAAUAUAUGUUUUUAGCAAACAAAAGGGUUAAUGUUAAUUUUUUUAUAUAUGACAUGGGGUAGAGUGCAAGCCAGCUAGCCGGAUAGUCUUUGGUGGAUAUUCUUUAGGACUUGGAGGGAAUAAACACAAAAGGUACGAUUUUUUUUAGAUGGAAAUCUGAGCUUUAUUGACCAUAUAUGUCUUGCCAGGUGGCUUCUUGUCUUUCCUUAACUGUCAUGUCUCAUUUGAUAAUUAGGAAUUCCUGGCAGGGCUGCUUUAUUUUAUUGUUAUAUUAGUUUGGUUUUGUGUUUUUUUAAUGAAGUUGGUGGGUCCAGAAACACUCAUUUGGAUUUUAUAUAUAUAUAUAUAUAUAUAUAUAUAUAUAUAUAUAUAUAUAUAUAUAUAUAUAUAUAUAUAUAAUUAACUAUAAACUUGCACAAUUAUUUUACUAUAUAUUAAAACAUUUGAAAAAAACACGGUAGAAAUACUAUAGAUUUACUGUAAACAAAGACACAUUGCCCUGUGGAAGAAACUGUGUCAUAGAGUAUUUGCACUGUGGACAACACUGUUGUACCAUGGGGCAUUCCUUUCCUUUGUUUUUAGUCAAUAAUUACGGGUGGGGGUGUGACCUUCUCUACCAAAAGCCGCUGGGUUUGACUUUGGUAGCCGGACCCAACGCUGUUGUGUUUGGUUGACAAGUUAGACCUAAAACACUUCCAAAACAUGCCAAUAAUGUUGAGUCCUGCAUUCCAGCCAAACCCAACAGAGUAUUUGACUGUGAACACAUAAUGUUCGACUGUGGACGACACUGUAGCGCCUGUGGGGGGGCGUUGUCUUUUCUGUUUGUAAGUCAGAAAGGCUUGCUGGGUCGUUGCAGCAGGACCUAAUAGCUUUGGGUCCUGCUUCCACUAGGACCUAAUGGCGUUGGGUCUUGCUGGAACCAUUAGAGUUGGGUCCUGCCUCAAUAGGACCCAUGACUAUAAUUUUUUCCCUUUUUCAUACGGGUAUGGCUGCGUAGCCAGACCCAGCAGCCAUACCCAAUUAAAUUUCUUGGCCGUUGUCUUCUUUGAUUUAAAUUUAUUUUUCAAAAUAAAUUGAUUGUACUGUGGACAACACUAUAGCAUUUUCCCAGAUCAAUCCUAGCUUUAUCAUCUACACACGCACGCACAUGCACUUUUUUCCUUUUUUGACAAGGAAUUAAAGUUAAUCAAUGCAAGAAAGUAGUAAGAUCACUGACAUCGGCAUAGGAAGAUUGUAAAAAAAAAAUUGAUUUCCUUCGGUGGAUGGAUUGGGAAUCCAUAUUAUCACGUACGUGAGAAUUCAAUCCCCCAUGCCUCUCUAUGCCUAUGUACAUCGUAAAUAUAUACAUUUUCUUCACUAUAGUAUAACACCACCAUUGAAUAUAAUGGAAGACCAUUGAUCAAUAAGGACGACUGGCUUCCAGACCUGGAGCCAUACCUAAUUAAAUUUCUUUGUUGUUGCCUUCUUUGACUUAAAUUUAUUUCUCAAAAUAAAUUGAUGAAUUUUUUUUUAUAUUGUAUAAAAGUUAGGUGAUGAUAAUUUUUUUCCCCAUUUCAGAUUGGGUUGAAUUUCCUAAUUAAAUCAUGUUUGAUUUUGCGUUUCGAAAAUUCUUUGAAAAAAAUUUGACAAUUUUUAAGUUUUUUUCUUUGCUUCAAAUUAAUAUUUUUGUUAUGUUUUUGUAUUUUUUUUAAAAUAUAUAUGUUGAGAUUUUGUCUAGCUGCGACGCCAAACCCAAUAAAUUUUUUUAUUUUUUUUACUUCAAAAUAAUAUUUUCUUCAUGUUUUUGUAUUAUUUUUAAAUAAUUUUUUUUAAAAAAAAUAUUGAGAUUGUAGACGGUUGAGAGGUGAGAAACAAGAAAUUUAAAAAAUUUUAAUUUUUUUCUUUACUUUAAAUUAAUAUUCUUUCGAUAUUUUUGUAUUAUUUUUAAAAAAAUUAUACUGAAAUUAGAUCUGAUUGCGUUGUAUCCUGCCUUCCAGCAUGACCCAAAAAUGUUGGCCCCCUACUUGCAGGAGGACCCAAUGCUUAAUUGGGCCCUACUGCCUCCAUGCCCAACAUCGUUGGGGGCUUUUGCAACCAGGAUCCAAUUACGGUGGGCUCGGCCUCCUAGCAGGACCCAAUAUGCGUUGCCAGCAUGGGUGAUUAGGUCCUUUCCGCUAAGGGAACUUGAUUGUGCAGCAGGCAUCGAAAACACAAGCUCAGUAGCAAUUCAUUUUAGCAACUAAACAGGCUAUAAACAAGCCUAUAAGCCCUUUUUUCUUUGAAAGAGAGAGAUUCAUACUUAUCAAUAUUACAAGGGAAAGAAAAGCUCUGAAACUGAAAAGGGAUAUCCUGAUUUCAUUGCCUACUUGAUUGCUUUCUAAAUAGGAUGUGCAUUUCUCCUAGAACCAGCUGGCUUACGGGCUUACAAGGAACCAAAAAUACUUGGAAGUCACACUUUAAUAGGCACUGAAAUUAGAUUUCUUUGAUUUAAAUUCAUUUUUCCAAAUAAAUUGAUGGGACUUUUAUUAUAUUGACCAAAACUUGAGUGAUGAUUUUUUUUUUCGUUUCAGGUUGGGUUGAAUUUUCUAAUUAAAUUAUGUUUGAUUUUGCGUUUCAAAAAUUCUUUUAAAAAAAUUUGAUAAUUUUUAAUUUUUUUCUUUACUUCAAAUUAAUAUUUUUUUUUAUGUUUUUGUAUUAUUUUUUUUAAAAAAAUAUGUUGAGAUUGUCUCUGACUCGAAGCCCGACCCAAGAAAUUUUAAAAUUUUAAUUUUUUUCUUUACUUCAAAAUAAUAUUUUUUAUAUAUAUUUUUGUAGUAUUUUUAAAAUAUAUUUUCUAAAAAAAUAUAUUGAGAUUGUGUCUGGAUGAGAGGGAAGACCCAAGAAAUUUAAUUUUUUUUCUUUACAUCAAAUUAAUAUUCUUUUGAUACUUUUGUAUUAUGUUUUCAAAUAUUAUUUAAAAAAAUAUGCUAAGAUUAAGUCUAGCUGUGUCACCAGACCCGUGGCAGUAGUGGGCCCUACCUAUAAGCAGGACCCACCGCUACUGGGUCCUUCUCCCAAGCAUGACCCAAUGAUGUUGGGCCAUGCUGCCCAGCAGCGGUGGGCCGUCCUCCAAGACCCAUUAGCUUUGGGUCCUGCAGCCAGCAUGACCCAUCAAAAAGCAUUGGGUCCUGCUGGGGGCAGGACCCAGUAAACCAAUAUUGUAAUGUGUUUUUCCUUUCUCUUAUUUUUUUUCAUAGGGUAAAGAGGAAAUAUUAUUAUUAUAUUAUUGUUAUUGUUAUUAUUAAUAAAUUCAAAGAAAAAAAAAUUAUUACGAUCGAAGAAAAAACAUAAAUUUUAUUUAAAGAGAUUAAAAAAUAUAAAAACUUGGGUUAGACAAGUUUAACAUUAUUAUUAAUAUUACAAAUAUUAUUAUUUGUAUUAUAAAUAUUAUUAUUUUUAUUACAGGUAAUAUUAUUAAUAUAAUAAUUAAUAAAUUUGAAAACAAAUAUCAUUAAUAUUGAAAAAUAACCAUUGAUUUGAUUUGAAAGUUAAAAUUAAAAAUCAUUUUUAUUUUUAUUAAGUUGGGUUUGACAUCCCCUUCUAAACCCGAGAAACUUGGGGCAGGAAAGGGACACAUGAUCGAAGUUGCUUGGGAGAGGCAGGAGCGCGGAUCCAAGUCCCUCGGAUCUUGCAGCCGCGCCUGACCCAACAUACUUGGGUUAGACGUUUGGAGCCAAGCUUGGAUCUGGCUGCAACGCUAGACCCAAGAGCGUUGGGUCUAGCCGAAAGGACGGACCCCAAGCUCAGGGGUCUUCCUUUUUAAACAGACCCAAUGCUCUUGUGAGCAGGACCCACUAAAGUUGGAACAUGCUGCCACCAGAACCUAGCAGCGGUGGCCCUGCUGCCAGCCUCCCCUGCCCAGCACGACCCAACGUUGUUGGGUCCUUCAAUCAAGCAUGACCUAAUGAUGUUAGGCCCAAAUGGGUACCCAGCUGCUAGGUCAUUUUGUCGAGCAUGAUCCAAUGAUGUUGUAACUUUAAUGGGUUCGGAUUGAAGUUAGACUCAAUGCUCUUGGAUCCGACAUUUAUAAGGGGUGCAAAGCUCUUGGGCCCGACAUUUAUAAAGGGUGCAAAGCUCUUGGGCCUGAUGUUGCAGACAGACCCACUUACUCUUUGAUAAGUUUAAUAUUGAUAUGAAUAUUAAAAAUAUUAUUAUUUGUAUUAGGAAUAUUAUUAUUAUUUUUAUUAUAAUUAACAUAGUAAUUAACAAAUUUGAAAAACAAAUUUUAUAUUGAAAAACAACUUACAAAUUUAAUAAAGGGUAAACUUAAAAAUUAUUAUUAUUAUUAUCAUCAUCAUCAUCAUCAUCAUCAUUAUUAUCAUUAAAUGUUUUUAAAAAAUGGAAGAAAAACCAUAAUUGUUUUGUGAAUAGAUUAAAAAAAAAUAAAAACUUGGGUCAGACAAGUUAUAUAUUAUUAUUAAUAUUAUUAUAAAUAUAUAUUUUUAAAAAAAUAUAUUAAGAUUGUGUAUGGCUGAGAGGUGAGACUCAAGAAAUUUUAAAAUUUUUAUUUUUUUCUUUACUUCAAAUUAAUAUUCUUUUCAUAUUUUUGUAUUUUUUCUAAAAAAUUAUACUUAUUAUAUAUUAUAUUAUAUAUGUAUAUAUUUUUAUUUACUAUAUUAAAACGCGUUAUCUUUGUUGUUUGUGAGUAAAAAAUUACAGCUGGGUUGAUGGAUCCUGCUAUCACUAGGAUCCAAUAGCGUGAGGUCCUGUUGCGAGCAGGAUCCCAUUGGCGUGAGGUUCUGUUGCCAGCAGGAUCCCAUGGUGUUGGGUCCUCUAGGCCCCAUUAGUGUUGGGUUGGGUCCUCUAGGCCCCAUUAGUGUUGGGUCCUGCAAGACCCAUCAGCUUUGGGUCCUUCGGCAAGCAAGACCCAUCAAAAAAUAUUGGUCCUGCCACUAGUAGAACCCAAUACUACAAUGUGUUUUUUUUUUCUUCUAUUUUUUUUUCUCAAAGGGUAAAGAGGAAAUAUUAUUAUUAUAUUAUUCUUAUUGUUAUUUUUAUCAUUAAUAAAUUCAAAGGAAAAAAAAUUAUUACUAUUGAAGAAAAACCAUAAAUUUUAUUUGAAGAGAUUAAAAAAUAUAAAAACUUGGGUCAGGCAAGUUUAACAUUAUUAUUAAUAUUCUAAAUAUUAUUAUUUUUAUUAUAAUUAAUAUUAUUAAUAUAAUAAUUAAUAAAUUUGAAAACAAAUAUUAUUAAUAUUGAAAAACAACCAUAGAUUUGAUUUGAAGAGUAAAAUUAAAAAUUAUUAUUAUUAUCAUCAUUAAUAAAUUUGAAAAACAAUAUUAUUACUAUCAAAGAAAAAUAAUAAAUUUUAUUUGAAGGGAUUAAAAACUAUAAAAACUUGGGCCAAAUAAAUUUAAUAUUAUUAUUAACAUUAUAAAUUUUAUUAAAUUCAUUAAUAUAUUAAAUUUGCAAUGAAUUUUAUUACUAUUUUAAAAAACAUAGAUUUGAUUUGAAGGGUAAAAUCAAUUAUUAUUAUUAUUAUCAUCUAUGCCAAGAAGAUGGUUAUAAGUAGGCUUUGGGUGCGGCUCUGCAGCCAGACCUAAAGAUAUUAGGUGAGGCUGCACACCCACACCCAUAUUUAUUAGGUGUUGCUCCGCAGCUACACCCAACUUUACACCCAAUAGAUAAACCUAAUUGGGCUGGGUCCUCCUGCCAACUUUUACACCCAACAGCAGGACCCAAUUGGGUUUGGUCCUGCUGCCAGCAGGAUCCAACAACUAUCAACGUUGGGUCAAGUACCCAGUAGGACCCAAAAGCUUUGGGUCUGGCGCAGCGAGACCCAUCGAUGAUGGGUUCUGCUGCCAAUUGAAUCUAUCAGCGUUGGGUCCUGCUAAUCGGCAGGGCCCAUAAGUUGUGAGCCUUUCUGUUAGGCCCAAUGCUAUUGGAUCUGGCUUGCGCUGGACCCAAGACACUUAAAAGAUUCUCUACAUUUGACAAAAAAAUUGUUAUUGACACGCUGCAGAACGCAGACUAAUAUGCUAGAUAUCAAACUAUAGCGUGUGUACUGGAUUCCUAUGGAAAUUAUUUUUUAUAUAAAAAUAUAAUAAAAUAAUAUUUUUUAUAAAUUAUAAAUUAUUUUUUUAUAUUAAAAUUUAAAAUGAUUAAAAAAUAAAAAAUUGUUUUGAAAAAAACAAUUCAUAUUCUAAAAAACACAGUUUAAAAGCUACUAGAUGCCAUGCCUGCGCGAUGUCGCGGGCUUGUGCAUUGUUGUGGGUUUGUGGAAAAAAUCAUAACAAAAAAAAAAAACCAUAUGGAGAAAAAUUGUUGCAAUCCACAACGUUUUCAAGGAAAAAACUACAAAGCUAAAUCUCAACCAGCUUAAUAUUAAAAAAAUAAAAUCGACAAAGAUAAUUUUUAAAAAAAUCAUAAGAAAAAAAAAACGAAAUGAAAAAAAAUCAUGCAGGGAAACACUAUAGCAAUCUAUAGUGUUCAAUGAGGAAAUCUACUGUUGUAAUUCUCAACCAGCUCAAUAUUAAAAAUAAUAAAAUCGAUAAAGAUUGUCAUAACCCAAUUCUGGGUUAUUCCCCAAAAUUCACUUUUUUUUCAAAAUAAAAAAAUAAAAAUAAAUAAAGGCUGGCAACGUGGAGAAAGCAAGCCGGGAAAUCAAGCUGCAAUUUUUGGAGGAAAUUCAAGGCCUAAUUGUACCCCAUUAUGCCCCAAAAUAUAGAAAAAAUGCAAAUUCAAGGUCAAAUUAAAUGAUUAUUGGAAGAAUUUGCAUAAAAAUUAAGUCCAAUGACAUAAUUAAAUUUUUAAUAGGCCAAUUUGAUUUAAUCAUGGGUCAAAUUAAAUUUUAAUUAUGUUUAAGAAUUAAUUUGGGUCAAAUUAAAGGAUUUAAUUAAGUGCAAGGACUUAAUUAUACUUUAAAUGGGUCAAAUUAAUUUUAUUUGGGGCUUAAUUGGUGAAAAAUUAAGUUUGGGAGCCUAAUUUAGACUUAAUUGAGAAGAUUGGAAUUUUAAGAGAAAAUUUAAUUUUUUCCAAGUUAAUUGAUUGAAAUUAGGGAUCAAAUUGCAAGAAAAUUAAAGUUUUGGGGUCAAUUAGGGGUUAAAUUGAAGAAAUCCGAGAACAGGGACCAAUAUGCAACAGGCGACAAACUAUGAGGAUUCAAUUGACAAAACCCAGGGGUGAAAUUGAAGAAAUUGAAAGUUUAAUGGUCAAUUAGGGGUUAAAUUGACAAAAUCCGAGACCAUGGACCAUAUUGUAAACGGCGCGUAACUUCGGGGUUCCAAUUAAAAUUAAGUAGGGGCUUAAUUGCAUUAAAUCCAAAGUUUAUAGCCAAUUAGGGGUUCAAUUGAAAGAAAUUGAAAGCUUGAGGACUAAAUUGAAAAUCAAUUUAAAUCCCUGGUAUAACCUAAAACGGCGCCGUUUUAUAUUAAAAAAAAAGAGGACCAGACGACGCGUCGUCUGGUCACUGUUCAUUGUCUUCUUCUUUCACAUGAAAAAAACUGCUUUGGAGCCUUACUUACAGGUUCAUUUAUUGCUUGAUUUCUCCAUCAAAUCAAACACAACUUGCACGAAACGGAUCCCCUACAGUUCCUCUACAACCCCAUGUGAACGUUGCAGGAUGAAUGACAACACGGCGUCACCGGGGACGGCGUGAAGAGGUCAAUGCAGGCAGCCUUUUUCCUGCAGAUUUGACAACUCAGGGAGGCUACUUUGAACCAACGGUUGGGAUCCUUCCCAACAUAAUCAAGGGCUGAAAUUUUUUCCCGGUAUAGACAAGAUUGCCCUCUUCCACCGCCUAUAAAUAGAGGCGGAGUUGAUGGCCUGAUGGAGGAGAAAAUCGAGUCCAAAGUUGACAAAAAAACCAGCCUCCUCCCCAGUUUUUUUUUUCUUUUUCUGCAACAAGUCUCUCUCUCUACACUCUCUCUCACCAUGCUCUCAGCGACUCCAAGCCACGCUGCCACCAGUUCGUCUUCCACCCUCUCCACCACACUUAUUCCUCUCCACCGAAAGCACCUUCUUUUUCCUCCACAACGACAGCAGCCCAUCAACACCAUCAUUUUCAUUUUCUUUCUUCUCCAGUAUCGGCAGCAGCAACACCGACUCCACCACAGACGCCGCCACCAGCUUCAGGGCGACUACUCGGACCACCUCCAACCUCACUCCAGGUCGGUGACAUCAACUGCUUCUCCCCCCGCAAGGUUGCCUCCCGCUCCACUCCGCGGGCUGCAACUGCAAAGUUGCAUAUAGAACGUGAACUUACUGUUCACGUUCUGCACAUAAUUCAUUUCACUUGGGUCAGGCCAGUUCUGGCCCAGACCAAAUGUUUGGGUCGGGUCCGGCCCCCAAAAAGGAGAGAAAGAAAGUAUGUUGGGCCGAUAUCGGCCCAAUCUUUUUGGGGCCUAUAUCGGCCCACUGUUUCUGGGUUUAUGUCUGGCCCAGUCAUCUGGGCCGGCCCAGCCCACCUGUUUUAAUAAUAUUUAUUUAAUAAAUAAUAUUAUAUUAUAUAUUUCUUUUAAAAAAAAAAACGAAAAAUUCCAAAAAAAUUUCAAAAAUCCUUUGAAAAAAAUUGUGAUUUUCUCAAAUAUUUUUUUUACCAAUUUUGCAUAAUAUUGGGUUGUAUAUUUACACUGUAAAAUACAAAUCAUGUAUUAAAAUACCUGGUUUUCUUUGAAAUAUUUCAAAAAAAAGAAAAUUAAAACAUUCUCAAAAAGAAAAAAUAUUUUAUUGCAUACGGCCAAAUCCUAAAAUUUUUCCAAGCAUAUUUUUCAUAUAAAAAAACGAAAACAAAAAUUGCAUCUUUUUGAUGUUUAAAAAAUCCAAAAAUGGAUAUCGUAACCAAUUUAUGAUUAUCCACUAGGAUUUGGUCAACAUGUCAAAAACCUUUUUCUAAUUUUUUUAGGGUCCAGAUGUAGACUUUAAUAUUUAUGGGUGUAAAAUUACACGAUAAAAUACACCCUCAAGUAUUAAAGAUACAAGGUGUAAAAAUACGAUGCUAAAAUUCAGACUUUAAAACUGUUAGGAUUUAACCCAAUAAGGUAGAGACUUUCUCAUGAAGAGAGAUUUGCCUUGAGCCUUAGAAAAGACCAACGAAUAGAAACCCAACUUGGAAAAAAACAAUCAAACAAUAAUGCAGCUUACCUUAAGUAGGGUGCAUUAGGGGUGAUGCAUCUUCCCCUUGCACAACCAGUCCCUUACUCAGACUCUCGCAGACCAUAGGUUCCUAGUGACCAUAAUACUAGGUGGUGACUCCUGAAUCUUAAUCAUAAUUUUAUGAUUAAAUCCAAAAAAAUCUUCCUAACACACAACACACCUCACAUAGGAGGCACGACAGAAAGCCUUCUUUGUCGCCAGACGACAUCGCACCGGCUCUUGCGCAUCCUGCGACAAAGAUAAUUUAAAAAAAAAACCAUAAUAAAAAAAUUAUGUGGGAAAAGACUGUAACAAUCCACAGUUAAAAAAAAAAAAAACUAAAUUUCUAACCAGCUUAAUAUAUAUAUAAAAAAAAAAAAAGUCUUCGGUGGCGAUUGAUAGCUAUGCGAUGAACUACUCAAAAUGCUAGAACAAUUGCAAAUCCCAGUUGCUAUGUAAUGGAACUUCCAGGCUAAGGCUCCUUUAAAUUACCUGCACGCCCGGCCUAGGAAAUUAUUAUUCUAAUUAUUCAACGACGACUUCAAGACUUGGCUGGCGUCGGGUGAUGACGAAGACAUUAUGACGUAGGUCUGCUGAAGUGGACCAAGUGUUCCAUGACAAUGCUGACUUCAGUUAUUUUUUAAUAUAUUUUUUUAAAAAUACAUCAAAAUAAUAUUUAUUAUUUUUUAAAAUUAAUUUUUGAUUUUAGUACAUUAAAAUAAUUUAAAAAUAUCAAAAAAAUAUAAAAUUUUUAAAAAACAUGAUUUAAUUGGAAAAAAAAAACAAAACCUCCUAGGGCUGUUUUAUUAUUAUCCUCGUUCCUCGAACUGUCUAAAUUAACAAGGAUACCCGCACUGCCUAAUUUCCCGGUCGUCAACGGUGGCGCCUCAUUCGAUAAUGGGGUAUCCUUUGGUAGGGCUGUUUUGUUUUAUUGUUAACUUUGUUUAGAAUUUUUCUUAUCAACCUGGUGGGGCCGGCCAUUGAGAAGUGGGUCUAGAAAAUUUGAUGCUGUCGAGAAAGGCCGUAGAUUCUAAACUUCGAUCUUAUCCAUGGAAUUAUAAAAAACAAUUAUUAAUUCAUGCACAUCAAAAAAGAUUCUAUAAGAUAAUAAUAAAGGCGAGGAGGUUGGCACAUACACGCGCGAGACCACGAAGCAACGUUGUUGGCUUUUGCUACCAGAAAAUGGAAAUCCAGUUAUACUUUACAGAUCAACUAAUGAUUUCACGAGAAUUAAGAAGGAAAGCAUUAAAUUUAUGGAAAUCUUUUCUUGGCAUGUGAGGGGAACGAGUCAGCAGUCUGGGUACAGUUGUUGGCUUUUGCUAACUUCUCCUGGCUAGCCAUUAAUCCUAUCCGUCUUUGGCCUCUCGUGAACAUGCGUUCUUUUUUAAAAAUAUUUUUUAUUUAAAAAUUAUUUUGGAUAUUAAUUUAUCAAAAUAAUCUGAAAAUAUUAAAAAAAAUUAAUUUUAAAAAAAUUAAAAUUAAAAUUUUAUUAAAAAUACUUUUAAAAUACAAAAACAAACACUAUAUAUAUAUAUAUAUAUAUAUAUAUAUAUAUAUAUAUAUAUAUAUAUAUAUAUAUAUAUGUUCUUCCACCAAAACAGGAUCCACCCUCUAGAACCCUUCAAAUAACUGCCAUGAACCCAAUUUCCACUUGCUCGAUUUCAUUUAUCAAGGACAUAUCAGUUACGAAAGAAAUGACAUUUCUAUUGGAUGGAUUUGUCUUGCUUAGCUCUGAGUUUAGAGUAAUGCUGCUUUCUUGAUUCUGAAAUCCGUCUCAACAGGUAAUGUGAGAAGGCAAAGAGGGGGGAAGAAGACUAUCCAGUUGCUUGGAUUGGACACUCUUGUUCCUUUUACGGUGGAGAUAGAAAGGUUUCAUAGUAUAAUGUUGCUUAAGUCACAAUCAGCCCUCUUUUUUUUUUAAUCUGCAAAACAAUUACAGGAAUAUUUGCACCAGAGGUGAAGCUGCUGCUGCUUCAUCCAGCCAGAAAGAAACAAAGAGAGUGGCACAAUGGAACCAUGCAUGCCACCUCUUCCCAAUUUUUUGACAGGACUGAUAAGCAUUUUCCUCUACGAAUGACGAAAACCUCAUAACAAGUGAUGGAGAUUUGAGAACAACAAGCAACCAUGGAUUCCCAAGUUUCAAAUGGGUCACAGGAUUCACAUAAACUUAGCCAAUCCGGUUAUUUAUUUUUGGUAUCGAAAUACAGGACAUGAAAAUCCUUCAGCAACACACCUCUUAAUUACAUAUCAAUAACAGGAAAGACAUCCACAUCUUCACACACAUGCAACAAACACCUUACAUCGCACGCUUCUUAUAGCAGAAAGCCCAUAAAACCAGAUACAAAGAGCGCUUGCCCGCUUAAGCUCUGCGGCACACAUCUCCAUCGCAGUUCCAUCCUUCCUUUCCCUUUGCCUUCUCCUCAAGCUCCUCCUCCAUUUGCUUUAGAUGUUCCUCGGUAAAUGGAAAAGCAUCUGCCCCGUAAGCUGUCAAGUGCAUCCGAGCUUCCUUGGUAAUGGUCCGGCCACUUGGGCCAAUCGCUACAGCUGCAGGAAUGCCUUGAAUUUUGAAUUUCCGACUCAGGAUUUGUUUCCUUUCAUCACCAAAUGGAAGGGCUAACCAAGGCAUUUCUGAAUAGAACUCGUCAAAGGUGGAUUGAUCUCUGUCGCUUGAGAUGAAGAUCACCUCAAAUGCGUUGUCUUUUCUUUUAAUUGUGUGGUAUGCUUCAAUUAGCUUGGGUAAAAAGGCACGACAAGGAGGGCACCAUUGAGCUGAGAAGUAAAGAAGAAUGUUCUUUCCAACUAGAUCGGACACUGGGACCUAAUCAAAGAGUAAACCAUUUGAAUGAUAAAAAAAACCUUUGCUAAUGAAUUCAAUUCGUGAUAAUAAGAAAGUUAUUGAAAGUAAUGCAAUAACAACAUGCGAGGUUAGCAUAGAACAAAAAAAAUUACCUUGGAGCCACUUUUGCCAAUCACAAAAUCAUUUUCCCCAUUAACCAAAACUGACUCAAGCGUCUGCGAUUCCAGUUUUGCCUUUUCAAUUGCAGCUAGCUCGUCAAGCUUUUCCGGUGUAAAUGGGUAGGCUUCGAUACCAUGUUCUUCGAUUAGUUCAGCUACAUUUGGGUUCAAAGUCUUCCCAUCUUGGCCAAUUAUAACAAGAUUAGGAAUGGUUCUAAGUUCAAAAUACCGCACUAGCUUCUCGCAGCUCUUGUCCUUCAAUGGCAAUGCCAACCAAGGCAUUGUCUCAAAACUCUCUUUGAAGUCUUCUUCUUCGUCGUCUAGAGAUAGUAGGACUACUUCAAAGUUCUCUCCUUUUUCCUUGAGCGUCUUAUACAAUUCCACUAGUUUAGGAGUGAAUUCACCGCACAUCCUAUGAGCAUGGACUGAAAAAUACAAGCCAACCAAUUUUCCUUCAAGGUCCGACACAGGGAUCUGCCAUUACAGAUAGCAAAAAUGUGAAUUAUGGCAUCAUCAAUUCAAUUUCAAAACUAGCUAAUUGAAUGAACCAUCUACCUUUUUUCCAUCAUUUGAAAUCACAUAAUCACGUGAGCUUGAAACCAAGAUAGAGCUUAUGGUUUGAUUCUUCUUAGCAUUCUCUUUAAGGAAAUUCAGUCUAUCAAGGUUGAACGGAUACCCAUCCACGCCAUGUUCCUUGACAGUGCUGACUCCAUUAUUAUCGCAGGAAACCUUACCAUUAGUAUCAAAAAUGACAAGUCUAGGGAUCCCUCUUACUUUGAACACUUCCUUAAGACGUUGGCGGGUCUCGGUUUCAGAGAAGGGAAUAGCAAGCCAUGGCAUUUCGGAGAAGUACGUGUUGAAGGAUUCAUCGUCUCCAUCAGAAGAAAUGAAGACCACCUCAAAGUCCCCUUUGGAUGAUAGGUGUUCAUAGACUUCUACCAACAAUGGAGUGAAAUUACGGCAUGGGCCGCACCACGAACCAGAGAAAUAGAAUCCCACAAUCUUCCCAACCAAAUCGCUGACCUUGACCUAAAAAUUAAUGUCGAACAUUAUCAGAAAAAAACAUCAGCCCUUGACGAAUCAAAAUCUUAUUCAUGGUUUCUUUCUCUUGCCAGUGAGAAGCAACAAAAAAAAGAGCCUUUUCUUAAUCAUAAAAGCUUCACAAAUUGGUCAUAAAUUUGUUCUUCAGCAAGGCUUGCAGUCUAAUUUAAACAUGAUAUUCAUCUUAAUUACUAGAAAAACCUACAAGUUCAUAUAAAAAAAGACGUCAACUUAUAAUAAGACAAGAAGAAGUAGAAUUGAAUAAGAUCAGAUCGAGGAACUCAUAUGCUAAAAGCAGUACCUGAUCACCAUUGUUGCGGAUGAGAAAGUCCCUCUCUUCUGAAGAAAGAAGCGUUGAAAGGUCGAGGGAAACGUCUUCGGUGGCCAUAGUUAGCUAUGUGAUGAACUACUCAAAAGGCUAGAACAAUUGCCAAUCCCAGUUGCUAUGUAAUGGAACUUCCAGGCUAAGGCUCCUUUAAAUUACCUACACGCCCGGCCUAGGAAAUUAUUGUUCUAAUAAUUCAACGACGACUUCAAGACUUGGCUGGCGUCGGGUGAUGACGAAGACAUUAUGACGUAGGUCUGCUGAAGUUGUUGGUAUUAGCAUUAUCACGGGCUUUUACAACUCUCCUCUUGCUUUUUUUUUUUUUUUAAUCUCUUUUUUUUUGUUUUUGUUUGUAUUCUAGUUUUAUCCAUGGUUUGAUAAAAAUUUUUGUGAGUUUGUUAUUAAAUGUAUUUUGUGUUUUAUCUUUUUAAUAAAAUCUUUAUAUUUCUUGAUACAAAAAAAUCCUUAAUUGGUUUUUUUAAUUAAAAAAUUAUUCUCUUUUGUUUUUGAUGCAUUUGAAAAUGAAUUUUUCUAUCAAUUUUUUUUUCUAAUAUAAAUCAAUAAUCAUAUGUAAAGCAUAGUUGAAAUGAACGAACGAACAAACAAACUAUAUACAUGACAUCUUACAUAGGAAGCUUAGGAAAGGGUGAAGGCCAAGAAUAAUGUAAAAUAAAACCUAUGACUCCACUACCAAUAAUGUAAAAAUAAUUAUUGAGAAAAAUAAAUCAUAAAAAUAUACUUCCAGCUCCAGUCAUCCAAAGCUUCUUAAGUCUCAGAAAAAAAAAACAUUUAACACAAACCUCAAUAAAAUUCAUAUGCUAAUUAAAUUCAGAUUUUUGUAACGUAGUCUAUUUUCUAUCAAAUGUGACUUGAUAAUAAUCACAUGCAAUUUAAUAGACAGGCUAAAAUCCAAACUUGAUAUAGUUCUUGGGUUAUAAUAGAGUUUUUCAAUAAUAAAACUCUUAACUUCUUUUUUUUAAAAAAAUAAUGAUAUUGCAUAUAUUUAAUAAUUAUAAAUAAAAUUAUAUUGUGUAUUUGAGCCAUGUCAGGACUCUAUUUCAAUAAAGAGACCCUAUAUUUUCAGGGGAGAAAAAAAGAGUUUUUAAAUGCAAUACUUUGUCAUAAGUCGUGACUUUUCCACACUCAAAAGGGCACCAUACAUAUAUGUCAUUAUACUUUAUCUCCAAACGUAAUUAAAUUAGUCAAUUAAUUGUAAGUGAGGGAAGUUAAUGAAUUUCCACUCUAAUUAAAAUGUUCAAAUUCAUUAUUCGCUUUCAACUUUAUCCUGAUUAAAUCAGGUUAAGUAGAUGACUUUCUUCAUUCGCGGGUAUCCACCAGAUAUCCUAAUCUAUUUUUUAAUUAAUUUUAUAAAAAUCAAACCCAAAUUUAAAAAAAAAAAUCCUUUAUUUAUGAAUCGUAAAACUAUGAAAUUAAAUUAAAUAUAAAACCAAGAGAUCUGGUUAGUUUAGUGUUGUUGCAAUGUGGACAAAAACUCAAAAUAUCACGGAUUGAAAUAGUGUUGUUUGUUUUUAAAAACAUUUUCAUUAUAGUCACCAAACACUUUUUAAAAUUUCUUUUAUCUUUGAAAUUUCAUUAUAAUAAUCAAUUACACCCAGUCUUUCACUGUAUAUGGGAACGAAAAUCAGCAUUUUUUUUUGUACAACUUUCUUUUCAUAACGUAAAGUAAAUCCAUCUCUUCAAUCCGAUCAAGUUGACGACAAAAUGCAAAAGAACAAAACAUAGCAUUAGCAUCCAAGUUGAUUUGUUUGGAAUUACAAGUAGAUGUGAGAAUGUGGGGUCAUUUCUUGAUUGGGAUAUUUCAGGGAAAAGGAAAAUAAUUAGAAAAAACAGUGGUGUGCUAAGAUGAAGAUGGAGGCUAGGAGCACUUACCGGUGCGAAGGAGAGACACGAAGGCCUAAAAUGUAAGCAACUUUGGUGUAAACAGGGACGGGUUUGGAAAGGUCAUUAUUAUUGAUGACAUUGUAGGAGUAGUUGUUUUUCACAGUUCUUGAAAGCUUUUUGCCACGUGUAACGGUUUUGAUGCAACCUCUUAUCAUCCCCACUAUCUCUUCACCUAUCCCCAAUGCUGUUUUUUUUUUUUUGAAAAAUUAAAUGUCAUUAUAUUAGAGUGAUGUUCAAAAUAGAAUCUUAUUUUAUUGCAUAAAAAAAUUUAAGACUUUAAGACGGGGGUUGACAGUUAGCAAUAUCAAAGAACCAUCUUAACCCAAUAGCUUAAGCUUUCAAGUGACGUCCCAAGAUAUGAUUUAUAGUAUUCUCUAACACACCCCCUCAAGUAAAAGCUCUUUGGGCUUGAAACUUGCACAGACCCACAUUACCUUGUGCUUAAUUUUUAUCAAAUAAAUAGGGAUGGUGAGAUUCGAACUCGUGACCGCUUGAUUAUCAAGGCUCUGAUACCAUGUCAAUGAACCAUCUCAACCCAAUAGCUUAAGCUUUCAUGUGAGGUCCCAGAAUAUGAUUUAUAUUAUUCUCUAACGAGUAAGAAUUUAAGGUUUUUUUAUUUGAUAAAUGUUCAUUUAACAUCAUUUUACUUUGAAAAAUUUAUGUUUUGAUACAAAACUCUAUUUUAAUCACAUUUCAGAUUAUAAGUUUUAGAAAAAAGAAAAAAAUUCAUUAAAAAUAGCGAAAGAGAGAGAAACACAUACACUGACAAGGUUUUGUUUGUGAAAAUAGCUUAAAUGUGUGUCAAUAUGUUAUUCUUGACAAGAAGAGUGCUACUAUAAUGUUUUUAAGCUUUAUAUUGUCAAAAAAGAUAAAUCGAGGUUGAAAGAGUUAUUUUUAAGUUAAACUUUGUGUUUUAAAAUUAUUUUAGAGUUUCUUUUUAGUUGAUGGAUUAGUUUAGAGGCAAUUUAAAAGUAUUUAUAAGAUGUUUUUAGAUAAAAACAUAUUAAAAAAUAGAAUUUUAAAUAAAAAACUCCAACCCAAUUCUUUAACCACUUCUCUAUUAUAUAAAAAAAAAAUAAAGCAAAUGAUGCGACAAAAAAAUAAAUCAAGCAAAUGAUUGUCAUUUGUUUUAUAAAAAAAAUAAAAUAAAGGACAAAUACUAUGUCAUCCAUCAAAGAAAAAAUAAAAUGGCUCUCAUCUUUUGGAUAAGCAUGCCGAGUCACUUGGCCCCACAAACAUGGCUUGUUUUUAGCUUCUCUUUUUUUUUUUUUAUGAAUCUUUAUCCUUGAGUUUUAAUUUUAUUUCAUUAAAAUUAAUUAUUUAAAAACACAUAAGGAUAUUAUUUUAGUAAAUACUUAAAUUAUUAAGAAUAUAUACGAAAUAUUAUUUUAUUAGAUAUCAUUUAAUUUUUAUUUUAUUUUAAAAUAAAAUUAUAAUGUUUUUUUUAUAAUAUUAGUAAGAGAUUUUUUUGGACUGAUAUUUCUUAUCUUCGCAUAUUCGCUGUCAAAGACUAUAAUAAUAGAUUCCAUGGAAAACAUUAAGGGUGUGAUUCAACUACUAAAUGAUAAUCGACUAAAAGAGUGUUUGGAGUCCACCCGUAUUUUUAAAAUAUUUUAAUUUUUUUAAUAAAAAUUAAUAUUUUUUUAUAUUUUGGAUUGUUUUAAUGCAUUAAUUUUAAAAAUAAUUUUUAAAAAAUAAAAAAAUAUUAUUUUGAUACAUUUCAGAAUGAAAAACACUUUGAAAAGCAAUCAUAACCACGCUCCCAAACAAGACAUGUUUAAAAAUGUGAUAGAAGUUGAGUUUUAAAAUAUUUUUUACUCAGAAAUAUAUUAAAAUAUAUAUUUUUUAAUUUUAAAAAAUUUAUUUUUGAUAUCAAUAUAAUAAAACAAUUCAACAAUACUAAAAAAAAAAAUUAAAUUUUAAACAAAUAAUAUUUUGCUUCAUUGAGCUAUAAACAAAAUAAUCAAAUUUUUAAUCUAUUUGUCACAUCAUGAAACAUGAUGAUCAUUAAUUAGCAAACACCACCAUGUAGGAAUCACAUGUGACACUUUAAAUUCAUCAUACCAAAUUGAUCAAAUUAUAACGUAAUCCCUAUAUUUUUAAGAAAUUAAUAGCUCACUCCCUUUAUUUAAAAGAAGCCAUAUUUUACCUCCCAUGUUAUCAUUUCCAUUUACUAUAACUUAGUUCUUCCUUUAGUUUUACAUUAUAAAAGUGCUAAACCAUUACUUUAGGUAUUAGUACAAAAAAAGUAUAUAUUAACGGAUUGACGGUCAAACCUUCUCAAUUGAGUAACUUUUUUUAUUUUUUUUUAUUAACAUGGGUAUUCGGGACAGUUUACGCGCAUCUUGACUAAUCCCAUAAACUCUGAAGUUAAUAAUCAUGUAAGCCUCCAGUAACUAUUAUAUUAGCAACCACAAGAUUUGAACCUGAGACCACAGGGAGAGUAAACCCCUUGGUCACCUACUAGAUGAUUAACUUUUUUUUUUAAAAAAAAACAGAAGGACUAACAUAUUGGUUUAUUGAGAAUACGAGGAUUCAAUUAUAAUUUACUUCAGGAAACAAAUAUGAUGCUAUUGACAUCCCCACAAGUGAACUGGCACAAUUAUUGUUUAUAUAAAAUUUCAAAAUGAUUUAUUCUUAAUUUUAACAUUUUAUUUUUAAAAUUUUAUUGUAAUGAAGUGACAGAGUAUGCUAAGAGUAUACCAAAAUAAAACACUGUUGUUUUAAUAUAAAAAUUAAUUUACAGGUUGACUGGAUAGCCUUAUAACCUAGAUGUUUUUCGAAGUUAGUUUUGAAUGAAUGGAGUGUUAUUAGUUAGUUCAGCGUGAUAAUUGGACUGAAAAUCUUUCGUUCUAAAUUAUCAACCAUUCAGAAUUGUUUUGUGCGUGAGGAUGCCAAAUUACCAAAACUAAACCCUAUUUAUAAUCCAUCACCUAUCAAUAGUGAUGUAAGAGUUCCAGCUUGUUUUCUGCAGCUGUGCCAAAACCUGGAGGGUCUAUACUAGCCCAGCAGUCCUUCCCCCGUCGUAAGGUAAGAGCCCAGCACCAGCAGUGUCCUUCCUCCGUCGUAGAGGGGUCCAUACACGAGAUGGCCAGAGAUAGUAAGUGAUUUCGAAAUAUUACAUUUCAGAUUAAGGUUGUCAAUUCCGUUCCGUUUCGCCCGGAAUGACCGAAACAUUCUAUACCAAUUCAAAAAACGAAACAAAACGGAACAAAUUUCAUCUCAUUUUAAAUCUCGGUCCGUUCCGGAUUUUUCGGCUAAAUUCCACCCGGAACGUUCCUGUUUCAUUCCACAUGUUCCGUUCCGCUCUUGAAAAGUCAUUGAAUCAAAUUGAACCUUGUUCAAUUUAAUUAAUUAAACCACCCAAUUAUAAAAAGUUUUUUUUCAUUAUAAUUUUCAAUAACAAUGAUAUUAAUAAUAAUAUUGAAAAUUAUUAUUACUAUUUUCAUUAACAAUGAUAUUAAUUUUUUAAAAUUAGAUUUAUCACUAAUAUAUAUGGUUUAUAUUCAUGUUGUUUUUUUCAUGUUUAUACUUUGUAGGAAUUUGAGCAAAAUAAAGGAUGCUUUAGAUUUCAUUAGCCUUGAUAAUAUUAACCUAGCUUUAUAUUUAAAAUAUUUGUGUUAAAACAUUUUAUUUUCAUAAUAUUUUGAUAUUUUGUUUAAGUUGAAUUACUUUAAGUUAAAGAUCUAUUUAAUCUUGACUAUUUAGAAAUAUUUUAAAUUUUAAAAUUAUAUUUGUUUGGCAUUGUGUUUGUAUUGCAUAAUUUAUAAUUAAUUUAUCUUGAAUUUGAAUUAUGUUUGUUGAAUAUAUAUAUAUAUAUAUAUAUAUGAACAGUACAACCCCGAAACGGCACGCCGAAACACUCCGAAACUGAAACAUUCCAUUCCAAUUGAAAAACGAAACAUCUAUCAAAACAGAAUUGACAACCUUGUUUCAGACUGCAACAAAUGAUAAGGUUUUGUGGCUGUCAUGGCGAAGGCAAAUUAAAGCACAUGAGAUUCAGUGGUGAGAAGCUAUGGAAAGUGGCAAAAAGAAACUGCGAGAACAUGAAACACGCAUUUGAACAUGAAAAAGUAAAUAAGCUGAACAUAAUUAAUGGGCCAUAGAAGCGAAGGUUUUUUCAAUGGCUUCAAACUUUUUGGCAGCGUGCUUGAUUGUUGUCGCCGAAUUUCUUGGCAGUGUGCUUGCUUGAAUUGCGGAUGUAUCACAUGGAUGAUAUUUUCGUUCUUUCGAGGCAUCAAAUAAUAUGGUGUCACGAGAAUUAAGCAAAUAGAAAAGCAUUAAAUUUACGGAAAUCUUUUCCUGUGGUCUUGGUGUAGUUGUUGGCUUUGCUAACUUCUACAAUCAAAUAAUAUGAAUGAAGCUGGUUCUUCAUCCAGCCAAAUAGAAACAAAGAGAGCGGCACAAUGGCAUCAUGCAUAGCAUUUUCCUUUAGGAAUGACAAAAACCUCAUAUCAAGUGAUUGAGCUAUGAGAACAACCAUCAACCAUGGAUUCCCAAGUUUCAAAUGGGUCACAGGAUUCACAAAAACACACAGAGCUGUUUAUUUAUUUUUCGUAUCCAAAUACAGGACAUGAAAACCCUUCAGCUUCACACUUCUUAGAUACAUAACGAUAACAGGAGAGACAUCCCCACUAUAUUCACACACAUGCAACAAACAUCUUCCAUUGCAUACUUACUACAGCAGAAAGCCCAUAAAACCCGACACAAGCAGCGCUUGCCUGCUUAAGCUCUGCGGCACACAUCUCCAUCGCAGACCCUUCCUUCCUUUCCCUUUUCACUUCCAGUAUCUUCAUCUUCCUUCAAAGCACACUUAGGGUGAAGAUCAAAGUCACAUUGUUUGCAAAAGAAAGACCACCUAUAUCCCGUUUCCCCACAGCCAUCGCAACCGUAUGCACUGCGUUUAGUACGUAUCAGCUCAUGCUCAGUAUGUAGUUCGUGUUUCACUUUCUCUGGCCACCCCUUCGCCUUUUCCUCAAGCUCCUCCUCCAAUUGCUUUAGAUGUUCCUCGGUAAAUGGAAAAGCAUCUGCCCCGUAAGCUGUCAAGUGCAUCCGAGCUUCCUUGGUAACGGUCCGGCCACUUGGGCCAAUCGCUAAAGCUGCAGGAAUGCCUUGAAUUUUGAAUUUCCGACUCAGGAUUUGUUUCCUUCCAUCACCAAAUGGAAGGGCUAACCAAGGCAUUUCUGAAUAGAACUCGUCAAAGGUGGAUUGAUCUCUGUCGCUUGAGAUGAAGAUCACCUCAAAUGCGUUGUCUUUUCUUUUAAUUGUGUGGUAUGCUUCAAUUAGCUUGGGUAAAAAGGCACGACAUGGAGGGCACCAAUGAGCUGAGAAGUAAAGAAGAAUGUUCUUUCCAACUAGAUCGGACACUGGGACCUAAUCAAGAGCAAACCAUUUGAAUGAUAUAAAAAACCUUUGCUAAUGAAUUCAAUUCGUGAUCAUAAGAAAGUUAUUGAAAGUAAUGCAAUAACAUGCGAGGUUAGCAUAGAACAAAAAACAUUACCUUGGAGCCACUUUUGUCAAUCAAAAAAUCAUUUUCCCCAUUAACCAAAACUGACUCAAGCGUCUGCGAUUCCAGUUUUGCCUUUUCAAUUGCAGCUAGCUCGUCAAGCUUUUCCGGUGUAAAUGGGUAGGCUUCAAUACCAUGUUCUUCGAUUAGUUCAGCUACAUUUGGGUUCAAAGUCUUCCCAUCUUGGCCAAUUAUGACAAGAUUAGGAAUGGUUCUAAGUUCAAAAUACCGCACUAGCUUCUCGCAGCUCUUGUCCUUAAAAGGCAAUGCCAACCAAGGCAUUGUCUCAAAACUCUCUUUGAAGUCUUCUUCUUCGUCGUCUAGAGAUAGUAGGACUACUUCAAAGUUCUCUCUUUUUUCCUUGAGCGUCUUAUACAGUUCCACUAGUUUAGGAGUGAAUUCACGGCACAUCCUAUGAGCAUGGGCUGAAAAAUACAAGCCAACCAAUUUUCCUUCAAGGUCCGACACAGGGAUCUGCCAUUACAGAUAGCAAAAAUGUGAAUUAUGGCAUCAUCAAUUCAAUUUCAAAACUAGCUAAUUGAAUGAACCAUCUACCUUUUUUCCAUCAUUUGAAAUCACAUAAUCACGUGAGCUUGAAACCAAGAUAGAGCUUAUGGUUUGAUUCUUCUUAGCAUUCUCUUCUUGCUCUUUAAGGAAAUUCAGUCUAUCAAGGUUGAACGGAUACCCAUCCACGCCAUGUUCCUUGACAUGUCUGACUCCAUUAUCGCAGGAAACCUUACCAUUAGUAUCAAAAAUAACAAGUUUAGGGAUCCCUCUUACUUUGAACACUUCCUUAAGACGUUGGCGGGUCUCCGUAUCAGGGAAGGGAAUAGCAAGCCAAGGCAUUUCGGAGAAGUAUGUGUUGAAGGAUUCAUCGUCUCCGUCAGAAGAAACGAAGACGACCUCAAAGUCCCCUUUGGAUGAUAGUUGUUCAUAGACUUCUACCAACAAUGGAGUGAAAUUACGGCAUGGGCCGCACCACGAACCAGAGAAAUAGAAUCCCACAAUCUUCCCAACCAAAUUGCUGAACUUAACCUAAAAAUUAGUGUCGAGCAUAAUCAGAAAAAAAAAAAAAACAUUAGCCCAUAAAUUAAGAGGGUAAACAAAAACUGAGGCUUUUCUUAAUCAUAAAAGCUCUAGAAAUUGGUCAUAAACUUGUUCUUCAGCAAGGGUCGCACUCUAAUUUAAACAUGAUAUCCAUCUUAAUUACGAGAAAAAGUUUAAUAAGACAAGUAGAAGUAGAUCGCAUAAGACCAGAGAAAUCCAUAAGCUAAAAGCAGUACCUGGUCACCAUUGUUGCGGAUGAGAAAGUCCCUCUCUUCCGACGAAAGAAGGGAUGAAAGGUCGUGCGAAACGUCUUCGUUGGCCAUUGUUAAGUGAUGAACUACUCAAAAUGCUAUAACAAUUGCCGAUUCCAAACGCUAUUUAUUGGGACAAACUGGGAUGGUUCCUUUUAAGUUACUUGCACAGCACGCCUAGGGAAUUAUCAUACGUCAACGAUGACAUGUAAAUUUGGAUGGUGAUGCCAAAUUAAAACAUCAUUCUCCUUAUCUAAAUACCAUAGUUAUUAAACCCGGCCCGGGGGUUGACCCGGCCAAGGGACCGGGUCCCGGGUUUCAUGGGUCAACCCGGGUCAACCCGGAUUAACCCGGAAAAAUUAAAAAAAAUUAAAGUUUUAAUAUUUCAUAUGAAAAAAUCUAUGUAAAUAUAGAUUAUACAUAUUAUGAAGUUUAAAAUAAUAUUUUAAAAAGUUUUUUAUCCCACAUUGAAAAAACAUAACUUUUUUCUUAGAAACAUAGAGUAUAUAUACUAAUGAGUUUCAAAUCCCACAUUGAAAAGAUAAUAUAUUAUCCUUUUAAGUUGAAGUAUUUAAACCAAAAGGUUUUUUAUCCCACAUUGAAAAAACAUGAUUUUUUUCUUGGGAACAUAGAGUAUAUAUAUUAAUGGGUUUCAAAUCCCACAUUGAAAAAACAUGGUUUUUUUUUCAUGGGAACAUAGUGUAUAUAUAUGAAAGGGUUUCAAAUCCCACAUUGAAAAGAUAUCAUGUUAUCCUUUUAAGUUGAAGUAUUUAAACCAAAAAGUUUUUUAUCCCACAUUGAAAAAACAUGGUUUUUUUCAUGGGAACAUAGUGUAUAUAUAUGAAAGGGUUUCAAAUCCCACAUUGAAAAGAUACCAUGUUAUCCUUUUAAGUUGAAGUAUUUAAACCAAAAGGUUUUUUAUCCCACAUUGAAAAAACAUGAUUUUUUUCAUGGGAACAUAGUGUAUAUAUAUGAAAGGGUUUCAAAUCCCACAUUGGAAAGAUACUAUGUUAUUUUUUUAAGUUGAAGUAUUUAAACCAAAAGGUUUUUUAUCCCACAUUGAAAAAACAUGGUUUUUUUCAUGGGAACAUAGUGUAUAUAUAUGAAAGGGUUUCAAAUCCCACAUUGGAAAGAUACUAUGUUAUCCUUUUAAGUUGAAGUAUUUAAACCAAAAGGUUUUUUAUCCCACAUUGAAAAAACAUGAUUUUUUUCAUGGGAACAUAGUGUAUAUAUAUGAAAGGGCUUCAAAUCUCACAUUGAAAAGAUACUAUGUUAUCCUUUUAAGUUGAAAUAUUUAAACCAAAAGAUUUUUAUCCCACAUUGAAAAAACAUGGUUUUUUUCAUGGAAACAUAGAGUAUAUAUACUAAUGGGUUUCAAAUCCCACAUUUGAAAAAAAAAAAAAAAAAAAAAACCCGGGUCUCGUCCGGGUCACCCGGGUUCCGGGUUGACCCGCCGGGUCGCCCGGGUUUGGCCGGGCUGUUGCCACAGCCGGUCUUUUAUUAAACCCGGCCCGGUCCAGCCACCGGGUCGACCGGGUCCCGGGUCGACCCGCCGGGCCGGGCCGGGUUUAAUAACUAUGCUAAAUACCAGUAGGUUCGAGAAACUGGUAUUAAACAUGCUUUCCCACGUGCUUUUACACACCUCCUUUUGCUUUUUUGUUUAAAAAAGAAAAAGAAAAAGAAAAAAACAUAUUUUUUUUUUUUUAAUUUCUCUCUCUUUUGUUUUAUCCUUAUUUCUUUUCCUUUAAAGAUUCAUACAGUCACCCAGUCACUCUUCACUUUUUACCUUAUUAGUUUAUACAGCUGGGUCAGGCAAGGAUUUAGUCUAGCAGCCAUAACAUUGGGUCUCAUAUAGUUGCUUGUCUAAGCAUCUUGGAUCAUCAGGCAUGGAUUAGGUGUAACAGGCAAGCCAGUUCCAAUUCAUGGGUAUGGUAUAAUUACCCUCAUAAUUAUCACAUUGAGCUUGCCUCUGCAGGUCAACCAAAGAUCCGGGUAAUCUAGGACCUUAGUUAGGUAUAUUUAAUUUAAAAUUCAGGUCUGUAAUUGGCCUAAAUAAAACCGGUCAUCUUGUUAGGUUAACUCGGAAUUUGAUUGACCCAGUAAAACUCAAUAGAUACCUGUUUUUUUAAAAUAUAUUUUUUCUCUUAACUAGAGAUCCUUUUCUUUCAUAUUUUUUAGUUGGUUAUAACUUAUUUCAAAGUUCACUAUAUAAAUACUAGAAGAAUGUUUUUAUUUUUUUAAUGUGAGAUUUGAAGCACUGUAGUAUAUAUACUCUAUGUUUACAAGAAAAAAGUUAUGUUUUUUCAAUGUGGGAUAAAAAACCUUUUUGAUUUAAAUACUUCAACUUAAAAUAAUAUGAUAAUAUCUUUUAAAUGUGAGAUAAAAAAUCUUUUAAAAUAAUCUUUUAAAUUUAAUUAUUUACAACAUGUAUAGCCUAUAUCCACACAGAUUGUUUCUUAAUUUUUUUCAUAUGAAAUAUUAAAACCUCAUAUAUUUUUUUAAAAUUUUUCCAAGUUGACCCAGGUCAACCCGUGAAAUCCGGGUCUCGGCUCCUGGGCCGGGUUUGAUAACUAUGGGUGCAAUAAAAAUAUAACUUUAAAGAAUGCAAUUAAAAAAAAUAAAGUGACGUGACCGGUUAAAAAAAUAAAAACUAAAAAAAUGUACAGAACCUCAUUUUUAUUUUUAUUUUUGCUCAGGGAGCCUCUUUUAAAUAAUAUUGAUUUUUUUUGUUAUGUGUUUAAUUUUCGGAGUGGUUUUUUUGGUUCAUCUAUGGUUUUGUUUUUAUUUUUUAUAUAGAUAAAAUAUGUUUUUGAAAAUAAAAAAUGUUUAAAUUUAGAUGAUAUUUUUAAUGUGUGUAGUUUUACAUGUUAUUCUUUUUUUUUAUUCAAUCAAUUUAAUGUAUUAUUUUUCACGAUUCAAUAUAUUAAUCUACAUUUAUCUCUCGAUUUUUUAAGUUUUGUUUUUAGAUGUCAUAAAUAAUUUUUUAUUGAUUUAUUAGUGCACAUAAUUCUUAGUUUAUUUGAUUACUUAUGUGCAUCAACAUUUUGAUUUGUUAUAGUUUUUGAACUAUCAAAAUACAUUGAAAAAACCUGUAUAAAUAUUUUUUUAUAAAAAUAAAAAUAUUUAACUUACAGUAAAGCGGGACACGUAGCUAAUAAAUUCUAUUAAAUGAGUUAGCAAGGUAGAAAACAAACUUGUAAUAGAUUUGUGCACAUUGUCAUUUCACCAUAAGUUACAUUAGCUCUCAAAACUUUUACGUAGAAACUUAUAAUACUAGAACUAACCAAACAUACUACCAGAAAUGUACUAAUCUUGCAACAAAAUAAGAAUCAACACAUCAAAUUUCCUUAGUGCCUUUGAAACAUAAAAUGUAAAUUAUUAGGGCACAAUUAAUAAUAACUUAUAGGUAAUAAUUAAUCUUCAUCAAAUAUGCUAAAUAACAUAAAUCAACUUUGUCAAACAUAAUUAUUGUGAACAUUGAUAUUUUUUUUAGCCCUGUUUGUUUCAUGAAAAAUGGUUUUUUAGAAAUUAUUUUCCAAACUUUUCUGUGUUUAUUUGUCAUUAGAAAAAUUAAUCAACAAAAAAAACUUUCCAAUCAAAGAAAAAUUUAACUUUGUUUCUAGAAAAGUGUUUUUCUUUUAUUUUGGGUGGAAAACACUUUCUAGAAGUUGUGAAAAAUUUAGAAAUGUCUUGUUAUUUGCUGAUUAUAUCAAAUUUGAUCCUCAAACUUUUAAUUGUUAUAUAUUUUGUUUUGAUUUUUUUCUUUCAAUUUCAUCAUUUAGAAUUUGAUUUAAUUUGAUUUUUAUAUCAAUUUUGGUCUUUAUUUUUAUUAUUGUUAUUUGCUUUUCUCUUGUCAUUUUCUUAAUUGAAAUUUUUUUAUCUAUCAAAUCUAGUCCUUAUUUUUUUUAUUGUUAUUUAUUUUAUUUGAAAUAAUUUAUAAAAUUAUAUAUUUUUUUAAUUUCAUCAUCUUUCAAUGUUUUUAUUUGUUAGAUUUGAUCUCUAUUAUUUUGAUUGUUAUUUAUUUUAUUUGAGAUAAUUUAUGAAAUUAGAUUUUUUUAAUUUUAUUAUCAUUUAAAUUUUUAAUUUGUAAUAUUUGUUCCUUAUUAUUUUAAUAAACUUAAAAAAAAAUAAUUUAUUUUCCAGCUCAUUUUGCAUGAUAUAGUUAAAUACUAGAAAAUGUUUUUAAAUUUUUUUGUUUUAUGAUACUAUCAAAAAUCAAAAAAAUAAUUUACUUUUUAAAAAUUUAAUUUUCAAGAAAAUUACCUUUUUUAAAAAAAUAUAUGUUUUUAGCAAAGAAAGGGGUUAAUGUUAAAUUUUUUUAUAUAUGACAUGGGGGCAGAGUGCAAGCCAGCUAGCCGGAUAGUCUUUGGUGGAUGUUCUUUAUACGAUUUUUUUUAGAUGGAAAUCUGAGCUUUAUUGACCAUGUAUGUCUUGCCAAGUGGCUUCUUUUCUUUCCUUAACUGUCAUGUCUCAUUUGAUAAUUGGGAAUUCCUGUCAGGGCUUCUUUAUUUUAUUGUUAUAUUAGUUUGGUUUUGUGUUUUUUUAAUCAAGUUGGUGGGUCCAGAAAUUAUGAUGUCGUCAAGGUUCUUUCCUCGACUUGUCUCUAAUUCUUGAAUAUAUUAACAAAACUUUUAAAAUACGUAAAAAUUAAAUAUACUAUAAAUCAACAAACAAUUUAUUUGGAUUUAUUUUUUUAUAUAUAUAGACACACACACUGUAAAUCAAGACAUAAUUAACUAUGAACUUGCAUAGUUAUUUUACUAUAUAUUAAAACAUUUGGAAAAAACACUGGAGAUUUACUAUGAACACAAACACAUUGUUCUAUGAAAGACACUAUGUCAUAGAGUAUUUGCACUGUGGACGACACUGUAGCACCCUGGGAGCGUUCCUUUCCUUUGUUUUUAGUCAAGAAUUGCGGCUGGGGGUGUGACAUUCUUUGCCGAAAGCCGUUGGGUCUGCCUUUGGUAGCUGGACCUAACGCUGUUGGGUCUGGUUGACAAGUCAGACCCAAAACACUUCCAAAACAUGUCAAUAGCGUUGGGUCCUGCAUCCCAGCCAGACCCAACAGAGUAUUUGACUGUGGACACAGAGUGUUUGACUGUGGAUGACACUGUCUGUAGCGCCUGUCAGAGGCGUUAUCUUUUCUGUUUGUAAGUCAGAAAGGGUUGUUGGGUCGUUGCAGCAGGACCCAAUAGCUUUGGGUCCUGCUGGAACCAUUAGAGUUUGGUCUUGCCCUAGUAGGACCCAAGACUGUAAUUUUUUUUCCUUUUUCAUACGGGUAUGGCUGCGUAACCAGACCCAACAGCCAUACCCCAAUUAAAUUUCUUGGCCGUUACCUUCUCUAAUUUAAAUUUAUUUUUUAAAAUAAAUUGAUUGUACUGUGGACACCACUAUAGCACCUUCCCAGAUCGAUCCCAGCUUUAUCAUCUACACACGCACGCACAUGCACUUUUUUCCUUUGUCGACAAGGAAUUAAAGUUGAUCAAUGCAAGAAAGUAGUAAGAUCACUGACAUCGGCAUACGAAGAUUGUAAAAAAAAUUGAUUUCCUUUGGUGGAUGGAUUGGGAAUCCAUGUUAUCACAUAUGUGAGAAUUCAAUCCCGCAUGCCUCUGUACAUUGUAAAUAUAUAUCUUUUUCACUACAGUAUAACACCACCAUUGAAUAUUAAUGGAAGACCAUUGAUCAAUAAGGACGACUGGCUUCCAAACCCAGUAGCCAUACCUAAUUAAAUUUCUUUGUCGUUGCCUUCUCUGACUUAAAUUUAUUUCUUAAAAUAAAUUGAUGAUAUUUUUUUUUAUAUUGUAUCAAAGUUGUGUGAUGAUAAUUUUUUUUUCCAUUUCAAGUUGGGUUGAAUUUCCUAAUUAAAUCAUGUUUGAUUUUGCGUUUCAGAAAUUCUUUGAAAUUUUUUUGACAAUUUUUAAGUUUUUUUCUUUGCUUCAAAUUAAUAUUUUUGUUAUGUUUUUGUAUUUUUUUAAAAAAAUAUAUGUUGAGAUUUUGUCUGGCUGGGAUGUUAGACCAAGAAAUUUUUUAAUUUUUCAAUUUUUUUCUUUACUUCAAAAUAAUAUUUUCUUCAUGUUUUUGUAUUAUUUUUUAAAUAAUUUUUUUUAAAAAAUAUAUAUUGAUAUUGUGUCUGGUUGAGAGGUGAGAACCAAGAAAUUUAAAUUUUUUUAAUUUUUUCUUUAUUUUAAAUUAAUAUUCUUUUGAUAUUUUUGUAUUAUUUUUCAAAAAAUUAUACUGAAAUUGGGUCUGGCCGCGUAGCCAGAUCCAUGGCUGCGUUGGCCCCUGCCUUCCAGCAUGACCCAACAGCGUUGCCCACUACUCAUAAUAGGACUCAACGCUUAAUUGGACCCUGCUGCCUCCAUGCCCAACAACUUUUGCAACUAGGACCCAACAACGGUGGGCUCGGUCUCCGAGCAGGACCCAAUAUGCGUUGCCAGCCUGGGCGAUUGGGUCCUUUCCGCUGAAGGCACUUGACUGUGUAGCAAGCAUCGAAAACACAAGCUCAGUAGCAAUUCAUUUUUGCAACUAGACAGGCUAUAAACAAGCCUAUAAGCCCUUUUUUCUCUUAAAGAGAGAGAUUCAUACUUAUCAAUAUUACAAGGGAAAGAAAAGAUCCGAAACCGAAAAGGGAUUAUCUUGAUUUGAUUGCUUUCUAAAUAGGAUGUGCAUUUCUCCUAGAACCAGUUGGCUUACAGGCUUACAGGGAACCAAAAAUGCUUGGAAGUGACAAUUAGAUUUCUCUUAUUUAAAUUUAUUUUUCAAAAUAAAUUGAUGAGACUUUUAUUAUAUUGAUUAAAAGUUGGGUGAUGAUUUUUUUUUUCAUUUCAAGUUGGGUUGAAUUUUCUAAUUAAAUCAUGUUUGAUUUUGCGUUUCAAAAUUUUUUUGAAAUUUUUUGGAUAAUUUUUAUUUUUUUUUCUUUACUUCAAAUUAAUAUUUUUUUUUUAUGUUUUUGUAUUAUUUUUUAUAAAAAAAAUAUGUUGAGAUUGUCUCUGACUCGAAGCCAGACCCAAGAAAUUUUAAAAUUUCAAUUUUUUUCUUUACUUCAAAAUAAUAUUUUUUUUGAUGUUUUUGUAUUAUUUUUAAAAUAUAUUAUCUAAAAACAUAUAUUGAGAUUGUGUCUGGAUGAGAGGGAAGACCCAAGAAAUUUAAUUUUUUUUUUCUUUACUUCAAAUUAAUAUUCUUUUGAUACUUUGGUAUUAUGUUUUUAAAUAUCAUUUUAAAAACAAUUAUGUUAAGAUUAGGUCUGGUUGCGUCACCAGACCCAUGGCAGCAGUGGGCCCUGCCUACAAGCAGAACCCACCGCUACUAGGUCCUUCUGUCAAGCAUGACUCAAUGAUGUUGGGCCCUGCUGCCCAGCAGCGAUGGGCCACCCUCCAGGACCUAUUAGCUUUGGGUCUUGCGGCCAGCACGACCCAUCAAAAAGCAUUGGGUCUUGCUGGGGGCAGGACCCAAUAAGCCAAUACUGUAAUGUGUUUUUCUUUUCUCUUAUUUUUUUUCACAGGGUAAAGAGGAAAUAUUAUUAUUAUAUUAUUAUGUUAUUGUUAUUGUUAUUGUUAUUCUUAUCAUUAAUAAAUUCAAAGAAACAAAAUUAUUACGAUUGAAGAAAAACCAUAAAUUUUAUUUAAAGAGAUUAAAAAAUAUAAAAACUUGAGUCAGACAAGUUUAACAUUAUUAUUAGUAUUAUAAAUAUUAUUAUUUUUAUUAUAGGUAAUACUAUUAAUAUAAUAAUUAAUAAAUUUGAAAAAAAUAUCAUUAAUAUUGAAAAAUAACCAUGGAUUUGAUUUGAAUGUUAAAAUUAAAAAUUAUUAUUAUUAUUAUUAACUUGGGUUUGGCAUCCCCUUCUAAACUUGAGAAACUUGGGGCACGAAAGGGACACAUGAUCGAAGUUGCUUGGGAGAGGCAAGAGCGCGGAUUCAAGUCCCUUAGGUCUUGCAGCCGCGCCUGACCCACCAUAUUUGGGUUAGGUGUUUGGAGCAAAGCUUGGGUCUGGCUGCAAUGCCAGACCCAAGAGCGUUGAGUCUGGCUGAAAGGACGGACCCCAAGCUCAGGGGUCUUUCUUUUUAAAUAGACCCAAUGCUCUUGCGAGCUGGACCCAUUAAAGUUAAAACAUGCUGCCACCAGAGCCCAGCAGCAGUGGCCCUGCUGCCAGCCCCACCUGCCUAGCAAGACCCAAUGUUGUUGGGUCCUUCUGUUAAGCAUGACCCAAUGAUGUUGGGCCCAGAUGGGUACCCAGCUACUGGGUCAUUCUGCCGAGCAUGACCCAAUGAUGCUGUAACUUUAAUGCGUUCGGAUUGCAGCCAGAUCCAAUGCUCUUGGGUCUAACAUUAAUAAGGGGCGCAAAGCUCUUGGGUCUGAUGUUGCAGCCAGACCCACUUACUCUUUGAUAAGUUUAAUAUUGUUAUGAAUAUUAAAAAUAUUAUUAUUUGUAUUAGAAAUAUUCUUAUUUUUAUUAUAAUUAAUAUAGUAAUUAACAAAUUUGAAAAACAAAUUUAAUAUUGAAAAACAACUAUAGAUUUGAUUUAAAGGGUAAACUUAAAAAUUAUUAUUAUUAUUAUUAUUAUUAUUAUUAUUAUUAUCAUCAUUAAUAAAUUUUUUUAAAAAAUUAUUAUUGUGGAAGAAAAACCAUAAUUGUUUUGUGAAUAGAUUAAAAAAAAUAAAAACUUGGGUCAGACAAGUUAUAUAUUAUUAUUAAUAUUAUAAAUAUUUUUUUAAAAAAAACUAUAUUGAGAUUGUGUCUGGCUGAGUAGUGAGACCCAAGAAAUUUUAAAAUUUUUAUUUUUUUUCUUUACUUCAAAUUAAUAUUCUUUUUAUAUUUUUGUAUUAUUUCUAAAAAAAUUAUACUUAUUAUAUAUUAUAUUAUAUAUGUACAUAUUUUUAUUUUCUAUAUUAAAACGCGUUAUCUUUGUUGUUUGUAAGUAAAAAAUUACGGCGGAUUAAUGGAUCCUGCUACCACCAGGACCUAAUAGCGUGAGACCCUGUUGCGAGUAGGAUCCCAUUGGCGUGAGGUUCUAUUGCCUGCAAGAUCCCAUAGUGCUGGGUCCUUUAGGACCCAUUAGUGUUGGAUCCUGCAAGACCCAUCAGCUUUGGGUCCUGCGGCAAUCAAAACCCAUAAAAAAGUGUUGGUCUUGCCACCAGCAGAACCCAAUACUGUAAUGUGUUUUUCUUUUUUCUUAUUUUUUUCUUAAAGGGUAAAGAGGAAAUAUUAUUAUUAUAUUAUUGUUAUUGUUAUUGUUCUUUUUAUCAUUAAUAAAUUCAAAGAGAAAAAUGAUUACUAUUGAAGAAAAACCAUAAAUUUUAUUUGAAGAGAUUAAAAACAUAAAAACUUGGGUCAGGCAAGUUUAACAUUAUUAUUAAUAUUCUAAAUAUUAUUAUUUUUAUUAUAGUUAAUAUUAUUAGUAUAAUAAUUAAUAAAUUUGAAAACAAAUAUCAUUAAUAUUGAAAAACAACCAUAGAUUUGAUUUGAAGGGUAAAAUUAAAAAUUAUUAUUAUUAUCAUCAUUAAUAAAUUUGAAAAACAAUAUUAUUACUAUCAAAUAAAAAUAAUAAAUUUUAUUUAAAGGGAUUAAAAACUAUAAAAACUUGGGCCAAAUAAAUUUAAUAUUAUUAUUAAUAUUAUAAAUUUUAUUAAAUUCAUUAAUAUAUUAAAUUUGCAAUGAAUUUCAUUACUAUUUAAAAAAAACAUAGAUUUGAUUUGAAGGGUAAAAUCAAUUAUCAUCAUAAUCAUCAUCAUCAUCUACGCGGAGAAGACGGUUAUAAGUAGGAUUUGGGUGCGGCUCUGCAGCCAGACCCAGAGAUAUUGGUUAUGGCUGCACAACCACACCUUUAUUUAUUAGGUGUUGCUCCGCAGCUACACCCAAUAGAUAAACCUGAUUGGAUUGGGUCCUUCUGCCAACUUUUACACCCAAUAGCAGGACCUGAUUGGCUUCGAUCCUGUUGCCAGCAGCACCCAACACCUAUCAACGUUGGGUCCAGUACCAGUAAGACCCAAAAGCUUUGGGUCUGGCGAAACUAGACCCAUCGACGAUGGGUUCUGUUGACAGCUGAAUCUAUCAGCGUUGGGUCCUGUUAAUCAGCAAGGCCCAAAAGUUGUGGGUCUUUCUGUCAGACUCAAUGCUAUUGGAUCUGGCUUGCACUAGACCCAAGACACUUAAAACAAUUUCUACAUUUGACAAAAAAAUUCUUUUUGACACGCUGCGGAGCACAGACUAAUAUGUUAGAUAUCAAACAAUAGCGUGUGUACUGGAUUACUGUGGAAAUUAUUUUUUAUAUAAAAAUAUAAUAAAAUAAUAUUUUUUAUUUUUUAUAAAUUAUUUUUAAGAUUAAAAUUUAAAAUGAUUAAAAAAUAAAAAAUUGUUUUGAAAAAAACAAUUCAUAUUUUUAAAAACAUAGUUUAAAAAGCUACUAGAUGCCAUGUCCGCGCGAUACCGCGAGCUUGUGCAUUGUCGUGGGUUUGUGGAAAAAAUCAUAAAAAAUAAAAAAAAAUCAUAUGGAGAAAACUUGUUGCAAUCCACAAUGUUUUCAAGGAAAAAACUAUAAAGCUAAAUUCUCAACCAGCUUAAUAUUAAAAAAAUAAAAUCGACAAAGAUAAUUUUGAAAAAAAUCAUAACAAAAAAAAACGAAAUGAAAAAAAAUCAUGCAGGGAAACACUAUAGCAAAUAGUGUUUCCUGAGAAAAUCUACAGUUGUAAUUCUCAACCAUUUCAAUAUUAAAAUAAUAAAAUCGAUAAAGAUAAUUUUAAAAAAAAAUCAUAAAAAAAAAUCAUGUGGGGGAACACGGUAGCAAUCCACAGUGUUUUAAAGAAAAAAAACUAUGAAGUUAAAUUCUCAACCAGCUUAAUAUGAAAAAAAAAUCGACAAAGACAAUUCUGGAAAAAAAAUCAUAAAAAAGAACAAAAAAACGAUGUGCGGAAACACUGUAGCAAUCCACGAUAUUUUAAAGAAAAAAACUACAAAGCUAAAUUCUCAACUAGCGCAAUAUUAAAAAAAUAAAAUCGACAAAAACCAUUCUGAAAAGAAAAACACAAAAAAAAGAAAAAGAAAAGAAAGAAGAAGACAAUUUUGGAAAAAACAAAGCAAAAAAAAAUGAAAAAAAAUAGAAAAACAAACAUGCGGGGAAAGUUAAAGCUAAAUUCUCAACCAGCUCAAUAUUAAAAAAAAUUGACAAAGAUAAUUUAAAAAAAAAACAUGUGAGGAAGCACUGUAGCAAAAUAAAAACCUUGUGGGGAAACAUUGUAGCAAUCCAUAAUGUUUUUUUUAAAAAAAACUAUGAAGCAAAAUUUUCAACCAGCUCAAUUUAAAAAAAAAAUCAAAAAAUAUAAUUUUGAAAAAAAACACAAAAAAAACAAAAAAAAACAAAAAAAAAGACAAUCUUGGGGAAAAAAAGGAAAAAAAACAUGUAAAACCCAAAAAAAGGAAAAAAAUGAAAAUAAAUGUUGGGAAAAAUAAAAAAAACACAAAAAUAAAAUAAAAAGAAGACAAUCUUGGAAAAAAAAAACAUGUAAAACAAAUCAAAAAAAAUGAAAAAAAUAUGGGGACUUUCCCCACACAUUUUAGAGUAUUACUAGUUACAUGACCCGCGCGAUGAUGCGGGUUAAUUUUUUUUAUAUAUAAAUAAAAUUUAAAAAAAAACUAAGAUCUAAAAAUAUUAGGUUUUUCUGUAAAGCUAUAUCCAAGAGUUUUGGGUUUGACUGCAACGCCUGACGCAAAAAUAAUAUUUAUAAUUCUUUAUCCUUUGAAAAUGUUAUGUACAAGAUCAAAUGUAUCUUAUGUUUUGAGCAUAAUGAGUAAACGUAAAUCUAAUCCAUGUAAAAGUAAUAGAAAAAUAGUUAAUAAUAAUCUUAAGUACUGAAAAAUAACUAAAAUGUUUUUCUAAUCUAUGAAAGAAAAGAGCUAGUAAUUCAUGAUUAUUUAAAUGCUAGUUUUUAAUUAAAUAUUGAAAAUAAAAAUUUAAUUUGAUUAUAUUAUAUUCUACAUAAUAAUGAUGCUAUGAGUUGAAAGAAUUUUAAAUAAAAGAUCAAAAUAGAUUUUACAACUAAAAUUAAAUAUAUCUCUAUAUUUGAAGGAACAAAAAAUUUUUUUAGUAAUUCUAAUAUUAUUGAUCCAGUAGCUAUGUUUUUUUAUUUUAUUUCCUUUUCACUUUCUAGAACUGCAUUUGGACUUCCACCAUCAUUGCAUGGGUGGAGGGAGUACAUCAGCAGAAAUACGAGAUCCCAACAGGAAACAACUAAACAAAGAACAUAAAGAUCAAACUUGCAUUUCUCCGACAGAGAGAGAGAGAGAGAGGAUACACCCUUGCAUGGGUUUUGUUUUCUACAUAAAAUCCAUUCGUGUCAAGUUCACAACGUGCAACAAGAAAAUAUUCAUGUUGACAAGGGCUUCAAAACACAGAUUGAGAUUCUAAAGAACACUAGUCAUCCACAGUCAAAAGGGAUCACAAAUCAGUACCCUGUUCUCUUCCUUUUGCUAGAAAUCAGUAUUGAAUUUUGUCGAACGAAGACUGCAUACAAUUUUGAGGGGAAGAAAAAACAAAGCAGUGCUUCUUUGCGCCAUUGUCUCCUUAUCUGGUAGCUAUGGAGAAACUUCUUUAAAAUAGCAGUACUUUCUCCAUCUACAAGUUGAGAUGCCUAAAUUUUAAACCAAAAGCAACCUCUAUCCACUGGGGCUACUUCAAUGAUUUCCCUUUUGUGGUCAUUUGAUCUUGUACAUAACAUUUUCAAAGGAUAAAGAGUUUUGGGUUUGACUGCAACGCCUGACCCAAAAUUUUUUAAAAAAACUAAGAUCUAAAAAUAUUAGGUCUUGCAGGUUCUUUUAUUGCUUGAUUUCUCCAUCAAAUCGAACACAACUUGCACGAAACGGAUCCCCUACAGUUCCUCUACAACCCCAUGUGAACGUUGCAGGAUGAAUGACAACACGGCGUCACCGGGGACGGCGUGAAGAGGUCAAUGCAGGCAGCCUUUUCCUGCAGAUUUGACAACUCAGGGAGGCUACUUUGAACCAACGGUUGGGAUCCUUCCCAACAGAAUCAAGGCUGAAAUUUUUUCCCGGUAUAGACAAGAUUGCCCUCUUCCACCGCCUAUAAAUAGAGGCGGAGUUGAUGGCCUGAUGGAGGAGAAAAUCGAGUCCAAAGUUGACAAAAAAACCAGCCUCCUCCCUAGUUUUUUUUUUCUUUUUCUGCAACAAGUCUCUCUCUCUACACUCUCUCUCACCGUGCUCUCAGCGACUCCAAGCCACGCCGCCACCAGCUCGUCUUCCACCCUCUCCACCACACUUAUUCCUCUCCACCGAAAGCACCUCCUUUUUCCUCCACAACGGCAGCAGCCCAUCAACACCAUCAUUUUCAUUUUCUUUCUUCUCCAGUAUCGGCAACAGCAGCACCGACUCCUCCACAGACGCCGCCACCAGCUUCAGGGCGACUACUCGGACCACCUCCAACCUCACUCCAGGUCGGUGACAUCAACUGCUUCUCCCCCCCGCAAGGUUGCCUCCCGCUCCACUCCGCGGGCUGCAACUGCAAAGUUGCAUAUAGAACGUGAACUUACUGUUCACGUUCUGCACAUAAUUCAUUUCACUUGGGUCAAGCCAGUUCUGGCCCAGACCAAAUGUUUGGGCCGGGUCCGGCCCCCAAAAAGGAGAGAAAGAAAGUAUGUUGGGCCGAUAUCGGCCCAAUCUUUUUGGGGCCGAUAUCGGCCCACUGUUUCUGGGUUUAUGUCUGGCCCAGUCAUCUGGGCCGGCCCAGCCCACCUGUUUUAAUAAUAUUUAUUUAAUAUAUAAUAUUAUAUUAUAUAUUUCUUUUAAAAAAAACAAAAAAUUCCAAAAAAAUUUCAAAAAUCCUUUGAAAAAAAUUGUGAUUUUCUCAAAUAUUUUUUUUACCAAUUUUGCAUAAUAUCGGGUUGUAUAUUUACACUGUAAAAUACAAAUCCUGUAUUAAAAUACCUGGUUUUCUCUGAAAUAUUUCAAAAAAAAGAAAAUUAAAACAUUCUAAAAAAGAAAAAAUAUUUUAUUGCAUACGGCCAAAUCCUAAAAUUUUUCCAAGCAUAUUUUUCAUAUAAAAAAAUGAAAACAAAAAUUGCAUCUUUUUCAUGUUUAAAAAAUCCAAAAAUGGAUAUCGUAACCAAUUUAUGAUUAUCCACUAGGAUUUGGUCAACAUGUCAAAAACCUUUUUCUAAUUUUUUUAGGGUCCAGAUGUAGACUUUAAUAUUUAUGGGUGUAAAAUUACACGAUAAAAUACACCCUCAAGUAUUAAAGAUACAAGGUGUAAAAAUACGAUGCUAAAAUUCAGACUUUAAAACGGUUAGGAUUUAACCCAAUAAGGUAGAGACUUUCUCAUGAAACGAGAUCUGCCUUGAGCCUUAGAAAAGACCAACGAAUAGAAACCCAACUUGGAAAAAAACAAUCAAACAAUAAUGCAGCUUACCUUAGGUAGGGUGCACUAGGUGUGAUGCGUCUUCCCCUUGCACAACCAGUCCCUUACUCAGACUCUCGCAGACCAUAGGUUCCUAGUGACCAUAAUACUAGGUGGCGACUCCUGAAUCUUAAUCAUAAUUUUAUGAUUAAAUCCAAAAAAAUCUUCCUAACACACCUCACAUAGGAGGCACGACAGAAAGCCUUCUUUGUCGCCAGACGACAUCGCACCGGCGCUCGCGCACCCCGCGACAAAGAUAAUUUAAAAAAAAAACCAUAAUAAAAAAAAUUAUGUGGGGAAAGACUGUAACAAUCCACAGUUUAAAAAAAAAUAAAACUAAAUUUCUAAACAGCUUAAUAUAAAAAAAAAAAGAAAAAAAAAAAGAAGGUCUUCGGUGGCCAUUGAUAGCUAUGCGAUGAACUACUCAAAAUGCUAGAACAAUUGCAAAUCCCAGUUGCUAUGUAAUGGAACUUCCAGGCUAAGGCUCCUUUAAAUUACCUGCACGCCCGGCGUAGGAAAUUAUUAUUCUAAUUAUUCAACGACAACUUCAAGACAUGGCUGGCGUCGGGUGAUGACGAAGACAUUAUGACGUAGGUCUGCUGAAGUGGACCAAGUGGUAUUCGCAUUAUCACGUGCUUCUACAACUCUCCUCUUGCUUUUUUUUUUUAAUCUCCUUUUUUUUUGUUUUUGUUUGUGUUCUAGUUUUAUCCAUGGUUUGAUAAUUGUUUUGUGAGUUUGUUAUUAAAUGUAUUUUGUGCUUUUAUCUUUUUAAUAAAAUCUUUAUAUUUAUUGAUUAAAAAAAAUACUUAAUUUGUUUUUUUAAUUAGAAAAUUAUUCUCUUCUGGUUUUGCUGCAUUUGAAAAUGAAUUUUUCUAUCAAAAUUUUUUUUUCUAAUAUAAAUCAAUAAUCAUAUGUAAAUCAAAGUUGAAAUGAACGAACAAACAAACUAUGUACAUGGCAUCUUCCGUAGGAAGCUUAGGAAAGGAUGAAGGCCAAGAAUAAUGUAAAAUAAAAACCUAUGCCUCCACUACCAAUAAUGUAAAAAAAAUUAUUGAGAAAAAUAAAUCAUGAAAAUGUACUUCCAGCUCCAGUCAUCCAAAGCUUCUUAAGUCUUAGAAAAAAACAUUUAACACAAAUCUCGAUAUAAUUCAUAUGUUAAUUAAAUUCUCAAAGAUAUCGAGAGAAUUCUUGAUUAGAUUUUUAACGUAGUCUAUUUUCUAUCAAAUGUGACUUGAUAAUAAUCAUAUGCAUCAAAAUAAAUUCUCUUUAAAUAGUUAUUGGUUUUUUUCUUUUUUUUUAUGUUUUUUUUUUAUUUUUUCUAAAAUUAUCUUUAUUGAUUUUAUUUUUUUAAUAUUUAUUCGCAGUUAUAACACCAUCAAACAUAUUUAUUUUAUAAACUCGUGAUAAUGUGCUAGCAUGCUAUUUAGUAUCAAAUUAUAGUGUGUGUAUAGUAUUACUGUGGAGAUUAUUUUUUAAAAUAUUUUUAUAUGAAAAUAAUAUUUUUUAUUUUUAAAAAAUUAUUUUUAAUAUUAAAAUUUAAAAUGAUAGAAAAAAAUAUAAAAAAAUUAUUUUAAAAAAACAAUUUAUAUUUUUAAAAACACAGUUUAAAAAGCUAUUCCAAACAGCGCUGGAUCCACCACGCAGCUUGGGCUUACGUCCCUUUACGAAAGAUGAGAUUCACAAUAACAAGAGAAGAAGGGUUACUGCUACAAUUACAGGAAUAUUUGCUCUAAAGGUGAAGUUUCUCCAUCCAACCAGGUAGAAACAAAGAGAGUGGCACGAUGGCAUCAAUUUUAUUAGACGAGUGCUAUAAGUUUGGAGUUCACAAUUACUAUUUCUUCUAUUAGAAAACACAUUGCAAUGUAUGUAUAUUCUUUUUUAUGUUGAAAAUUUUUAACGAAGGGCGGGUUAACUAGUUAAUAGUCUCAUGUUCUUUAGAAAUUGAAGGGAUUAAACACUAAAGUAACUAACUUUCCUCGCCAAAAAAAAGGUAUGGUUUGAUUUUUUAACAUAUGAUUGAAAUUUAAGUUUUAAAUUUAAGUUUUAAUCGCCACUAGAUUGGUAGCCUGCAUGCCAUGUCACGCGCUAGCAGGAUUAAUUUUUUUUUCAUCGGAAGAAAAAAAUGCUUAGUCAUUUUAUAUUGGAUUAAUAUGAUUAAAACAAUAGGAAUGAUAAGCAUUUUCCUCUACGAAUGAGGAAAACCUCAUAACAAGUGAUGGAGAUUUGAGAACAACAAGCAACCAUGGAUUCCCAAGUUUCAAAUGGGUCACAGGAUUCACAUAAACUUAGCCAAUCCGGUUAUUUAUUCUUCGUAUCGAAAUACAGGACAUGAAAAUCCUUCAGCAACACACCUCUUAAUUACAUAUCAAUAACAGCAAAGACAUCCACAUCUUCACACACAUGCAACAAACACCUUACAUCGCACGCUUCUUAUAGCAGAAAGCCCAUAAAACCAGAUACAAGGAGCGCUUGCCCGCUUAAGCUCUGCGGCACACAUCUCCAUCGCAGUUCCAUCCUUCCUUUCCCUUUUCACUUCCAGUAUCUUCAUCUUCCUUCAACGCACAUUUCGGGUGAAGAUCAAAGUCACAUUGUUUGCAAUAGAAAGACCAACUAUGUCCUGUUUCACGACAGCCAUUGCAAACAUAUGCUUUGCGUUUAGUACGAAUCAGCUCAUGCUCAGUAUGAAGUUCGUGUUUCACUUUCUCUGGCCACCCCUUUUCCUUUUCCUCAAGCUCCUCCUCCAAUUGCUUUAGAUGUUCCUCGGUAAAUGGAAAAGCAUCUGCCCCGUAAGCUGUCAAGUGCUUCCGAGCUUCCUUGGUAAUGGUCCGGCCACUUGGGCCAAUCGCUACAGCUGCAGGAAUGCCUUGAAUUUUGAAUUUCCGACUCAGGAUUUGUUUCCUUCCAUCAACAAAUGGAAGGGCUAACCAAGGCAUUUCAGAAUAGAACUCGUCAAAGGUGGAUUGAUCGCUGUCGCUUGAGAUGAAGAUCACCUCGAAUGCGUUGUCUUUUCCUUUAAUUGUGUGGUAUGCUUCAAUUAGCUUGGGUAAAAAGGCACGACAUGGAGGGCACCAUUGAGCUGAGAAGUAAAGAAGAAUGUUCUUUCCAACUAGUUCAGACACUGGGACCUAAUCAAGAACAAACCACUUGAAUGAUAAAAAAAACCUUUGCUAAUGAAUUCAAUUAGUGAUGAUAUGAAAGUUAUUGAAAGUAAUGCAAUAACAACAUGCGAGGUUAGCAUAAAACAAGAAAAUUACCUUGGAGCCACUUUUGUCAAUCACAAAAUCAUUUUCCCCAAUAACCAAAACUGAUUCAAGCGUCUGCGAUUCCAGUUUUGCCUUUUCUAUUGCAGCUAGCUCGUCAAGCUUUUCCGGUGUAAAUCGAUUAGUUCAGCUACAUUUGAGUUCAAAGUCUUCCCAUCUUGGCCAAUUAUGACAAGAUUAGGAAUUGUGCUAAGUUCAAAAUACCGCACUAGCUUCUCGCAGCUCUUGUCAUUAAAUGGCAAUGCCAACCAAGGCAUUGUCUCAAAACUCUCUUUGAAGUCUUCUUCUUCGUCGUCUAGAGAUAUUAGGACUACUUCAAAGUUCUCUCCUUUUUCCUUGAGCGUCUUAUACAAUUCCACUAGUUUUGGAGUGAAUUCACAGCACAUCGUAUGGAUUGAAAAACACAAGCCAACCAAUUUUCCUUCAAGGUCCAACAAAGGGAUCUGCCAUUACAGAUAGCAAAAACGUGAAUUAUGGCAUCAUCAAUUCAAUUUCAAAACUAGCUAAUUGAAUGGACCAUCUACCUUUUUUCCAUCAUUUGAAAUCACAUAAUCACGUGAGCUGGAAACCAAGAUAGAGCUUAUGGUUUGAUUCUUCUUAGCAUUCUCUUCUUGCUUUUUCAGGAAAUUCAGUCUAUCAAGGUUGAACGGAUACCCAUCCACGCCAUGUUCCAUGACAGUGCUGACCCCAUCAUCGCAUGAAACCUUGCCAUUCGUAUCAAAAAUGACAAGAUGAGGGAUUCCUCUUACUUCGAACACUUCCUUAAGACGUAGGCGGGUCUCCGUAUCAGAGAAGGGAAUAGCAAGCCAUGGCAUUUCGGAGAAGUAUGUGUUGAAUGAUUCAUCGUCUCCGUCAGAAGAAAUGAAGACCACCUCAAAGUCCCCUUUGGAUGAUAGCUGUUCAUAGACUUCUACCAACAACGGAGUGAAAUUACGGCACGGCCCGCACCAUGAACCAGAGAAAUAGAAUCCCACAAUCUUCCCAACCAAAUUGCUGACCCUAACCUAAAAUUAGUGUCGAGCAUAAUCAGAAAAAAAAACAUUAGCCCUUGCAUUAAGAGGGUAAACAAAAAUUGAGGCUUUUCUUAAUCAUAAAAGCUCUAGAAAUUGGUCAUAAACUUGUUCUUCUGCAAGGCUCGCACUCUAAUUUAAACAUGAUAUCCAUCUUAAUUACGAGAAAAACAGAAAUCCAUAAGCUAAAAGCAGUACCUGGUCACCAUUGUUGCGGAUGAGAGAGUCCCUCUCUUCCGACGAAAGAAGCGAUGAAAGGUCGUGCGAAACGUCCUCGUUGGCCAUUGUUAAGUGAUGAACUACUCAAAAGGCUAGAACAAUCGCCGAUUCCAAAUGCUAUGUAUUAUAGGUUCCUUUUAAGUUACUUGCACAACAAGCAAUACUAAAAAAUGAAUUAAUUAGCAACGGAUUAUUUCGUUGCAGAUAAUACUAAAAUCCGUUGCUAAAAUAAUUUAGUAACAGAAUCAGCAACGGAUAAAAUCUAGUGUAGAUUUGUCAUUAUUGAUUUUUCAGCAACAGAUAAUCCGUUGCUGAUUCACGGAUAAUCCGUUGCUAAUUCUAGCAACGGAUUAUCAUUUGCUGAUUGUCAGCAACGGAUUUGCUGAUUCACGAAAUUAACAACGGAUUUUCCGUUGCUGAAUAUAUUAUUUUUAUUAAAUUAAUUUUUUAUUUAUGAAUUUUAAUUUGUUUAAUUAAUUAUUUAUAGAUAUUUUAAAAAUUAUAGAAUAUAUAUAACCAACAUAAAUUAAUAUUAAAAAUAAAUGCAUCACUAAUAAAAAAAUGAAAUAAAAAUAAUGUUCAUAUUAUAAAAAUUUAGUUAAACUUGCAUUAAUACAAACGAAAUUAAUGGUAUAAUAACAAAUUAAAUUAAUAAAGACAAAUGAUAUUAUAAAAAAUUACAUUAACAAUACGAGCACCUAUGUCUUAGAAAGAGGGCUAAGGGAGAUGGAAAGUAUUCCUUACAUUUCGUCUGCCAUUUAGUCUUCCAAGCCGUGAACUUACAUUAACAGUACGAGCACCUACAGCGGAAUAAGACAAGAAGAAGUAGACUUGAACUUAUAAUAAGGCAAGAAGAAGUAGAAUUGAAUAAGAUCAGAUCGAGGAACUCAUAUGCUAAAAGCAGUACCUGAUCACCAUUGUUGCGGAUGAGAAAGUCCCUCUCUUCUGAAGAAAGAAGCGUUGAAAGGUCGAGGGAAACGUCUUCGGUGGCCAUAGUUAGCUAUGUGAUGAACUACUCAAAAGGCUAGAACAAUUGCCAAUCCCAGUUGCUAUGUAAUGGAACUUCCAGGCUAAGGCUCCUUUAAAUUACCUACACGCCCGGCCUAGGAAAUUAUUGUUCUAAUAAUUCAACGACGACUUCAAGACUUGGCUGGCGUCGGGUGAUGACGAAGACAUUAUGACGUAGGUCUGCUGAAGUUGUUGGUAUUAGCAUUAUGACGAAGACAUUAUAAUAAUUUGUUUAUUAUUAUAAAAAAUUUGUUUAUUAUGUGUUGUGUGGAAUUCCUGCCUCUUCAUGUUUGGAGCUCGACAAAGUUCGAGUUAUUUUCAUUAGUGUUAGCCCAAAAACCUCUUCAUGUAAUGGAACUUCCAGGCUAAGGCUCCUUUAAAUUACCUGCACGCCCGGCCUAGGAUAUUAUUUUUCUAAUUUGUCAACGACGACUUCAAGACAUGGCUGGCAUCGGGUGAUGACGAAGACAUUAUGACGUAGGUCUGCUGAAGUGGUAUUCGCAUUAUCACGUGCUUCUACAACUCUCCUCUUGCUUUUUUUUUUUUAAUCUCCUUUUUUUGUUUUUUUUUGUAUUCUAGUUUUAUCCAUGGUUUGAUAAUUUUUUUUGAGUUUGUUAUUAAAUGUAUUUUGUGUUUUAUCUUUUUAAUAAAAUCUUUAUAUUUCUUGAUACAAAAAAAUCCUUAAUUGGUUUUUUUAAUUAAAAAAUUAUUCUCUUUUGUUUUUGAUGCAUUUGAAAAUGAAUUUUUCUAUCAAAUUUUUUUUCUAAUACAAAUCAAUAAUCAUAUGUAAAGCAUAGUUGAAAUGAACGAACAAACAAACAAACAAACUAUAUACAUGUCUCUAUUUCAAUAAAGAGACCUAUAUUUUAAAAAUAAUGAUAUUGCAUAUAUUUAAUAAUUAUAAAUAAAAUUAUAUUGUGUAUUUGAGCCACAUCAUGACUCUAUUUCAAUAAAGAGACCUAUAUUUCCACGGGAAAAAGAAAGAGUUUUUAAAUGCAAUACGUUGUCAUAAGUCGUGACUUUUCCACACUCAAAAGUGCACUAUACAUAUAUGUCAUUAUACUUUAUCGAACACUCCAAAUGUAAUUAAAUUAGUCAAUUAAUUGUAAGUGAGGGAAGUUAAUGAAUUUCCACUCUAAAAUGUUCAAAUUCAUUAUCCGCUUUCAAUUUUAUCCUGAUUAAAUCAGGUUAAGUAGAUGACUUUCUUCAUUCGUAGGUAUCCAAUAGAUAUCCUAAUCUAUUUUUUAAAUAAUUUUAUAAAAAUAAAACAAAACUAAAAAAAUAAAAUAUUCCCUCAUUUAUGAAUCAUAAAACUAUGAAAUUAAAUUAAAUAUAAAACCAAGAGAUGUUGUUAGUUUAGUGUUGUUGCACCGUGGACGAAAACUUAAAAAAUCACGGAUUGAAAUAGUGCUAUAGUUUUUUCUGAAAUUUUUUUCAUUAUAGGAACCAAACACUUUUUUAAUUUUUUUUAACUUUGACAUUUCAUUAAUCGAGAAUUUGGACUUAUUGGUUGGUUUUUUUUUGGUUUUCUAUAUAUUUUUUUAAAUUAAAUGUCUUUACAUUAGGGUGAUGUUGGAUUUUACAAAAUAGAAUUCUAUUUUAUUGCAUACAAAAAUUUAAGAUUUAGGGGGCCAAAAUUGACAGCGAGCAAGAAUUUAAGGUUUUUUUAUUUGAUAAAUGUUCAUUUCACAUCAUUUUACUUUGAAAGAUUUAUGUUUUGAUCCAAAACUCUAUUUUAAUCACAUUUCAGUCUAUGAGAUUUAGAAAAAAGAUAAAAAUUCAUUGAAAAUAACGAAUGAGAGAGAAACACAUAUACUGACAAGGUUUUGUUUGUGAAAAUAGCUAAAAUGUGUGUCAAUGUGUUAUUCUUGACAAGAAAAGUGCUACCAUAAUGUUUUUAAGUUUUAUAUUGUCAAAAAAAAGAUAGAUCAAGGUUGAGAGAAUUAUUUUUAGGUUAAACUUUGUGUUUUAAAAUUAUUUUAGAGUAUCUUUUUAGUUGAUAGAUUAAUUUAAAGAAAAUCUAAAAGUAUGUAUGAGAUGUUUUUAGAUAAAAACAUAUUAAAAAAUAAAAUUUUAAAUAAAAAACACCAACCCAAUUCUUCAACCACUUCUCUGUUACAAAAUAAAAAAUAAAGCAAAUGAUGUGGAAAAAAAAAAGCAAGCAAAUGAUUGUCAUUUGUUUUAUUUAAAAAAAAAACAAUAAAGGACAAAUACUAUCGGCAUGUUUGGGAACGCGGCUGCGGCUGCGUUCCUAAAAAAUUUGAAUUUUUUUUUUUUUUUACUAAAAUUUAAUAUGGUUUGUAUGGUUUGGAUCGUUUUGAUGUGCUGAUGUCAAAAAUAAUUUUUAAAAAAUGAAAAAACAUCAUUGGCAUGUAUUUUGGCACGAAAAAUUAUUUGAAAAGCACUAACAACCACACUGCCAAACAUGCUCUAUGUCAUCCAUCAAAGAAAAAAUAAAAUGGCUCUUUCAUCUUUUGGAUAAGCAUGCCGAGUCACUUGGCCCCACAAACAUAGUUUGUUUUUAGCCUCUAUUUUAUUAUUUUUUGAAUCUUUAUCCUUGAGUUUUAAUUUAUUUCAUUAAAAUUAAUUAUUUAAAAACACAUCAAGGAUAUUAUUUUAGUAAAUACUUAAAUUAUUAAGAAUAUAAAUGAAAUAUUAUUUUAUUAGAUAUCAUUUAAUUUUUAUUUUAUUUUAAAAUAAAAUUAUAAUAUUCUUUUUAUAAUAUUAGUAAGAGGUUGACUGGAUAAACCUAUAACCUAGAUGUUUUCCCAAGUUAGUUUUGAAUGAAUGGAGUGUUAUUAGUUAGUUCAGCGUGAUAAUUGGACUGAAAAUCUUUCGUUCUAAAUUAUCAACCAUUCAGAAUUGUUUUGUGCGUGAGGAUGCCAAAUUACCAAAACUAAACCUUAUUUAGAAUCCAUCACCUAUCAAUAGUGAUGUAAGAGUUCCAGCUUGUUUUCUGCAGCUGUGCCAAAACCUGGAGGGUCUAUACUAACCCAGCAGUGUUCUUCCCCCGUCGUAAGGUAAGAGCCCAGCAGUGUCCUUCCUCCGUCGUAGAGGGGUCCAUACACGAGAUGGUCAGAGAUAGUAAGUGAUUUCAGAAUAUGCCAUUUCAGACUGCAACAAUUGAUAAGGUUUUGUGGCUGUCAUGGCGAAGGCAAAUUUAAAGCACAUGAGAUUCAGUGGUGGGAAGCUAUGGAACGUGGCAAAAAGAAACAGCGAGAACAUGAAACACGCAUUUGAACAUGAAAAAGUAAAUAAGCUGAACAUAAUUAAUGGGCCAUAGAAGCGAAGGUUUUUUCAAUGGCUUCAAACUUUUUGGCAGCGUGCUUGAUUGUUGUCGCCGAGUUUCUUGGCAGUGUGCUUGCUUGAAUUGUGGAUGUAUCACAUGGAUGAUAUUUUCGUUCUUUCGAGGCAUCAAAUAAUAUGGUGUCACGAGAAUUAAGCAAAUAGAAAAGCAUUAAAUUUACGGAAAUCUUUUCCUGUGGUCUUGGUGUAGUUGUUGGCUUUGCUAACUUCUCCAAGCUCACCACUAAUCCUAUCUGUCCUUUGCGUCCCAUGAACUGAUACAAGCAAUAGCCUGCCCGUGAUUCUGGUUUAAUUGAUUGCAGACAUGUUCAUCAACAAACGCAGGUGUCCACCCUCCAAAUAACUGCCAUGAACCCAGUUUCCACCUGCUGGGAUUUCAUUUGUCUUUCUUAGUUCUGAGUUCGAAUUAAUGCUGCUUUCUUGAUUCUGAAAUCCGCCUCAACAAGUAAUUUGAGAAGGCAAAGAGGGGGGGAAAUGACUAUCCAGUUGCUUGGAUUGGAAAUUCUAGUUCUUUUACGGUGGAGUUACAAUGGUUUCAUUGUAUAAUGUUGGUUAAGUCACAAUCAGCCCAGUUUUUGUAUUUAAUCAGCAUUACAAUUACAGGAAUAUUUGCUCCUGAGGUGAAGCUGUUUCUUCAUCCAGCCACAUAGAAACAAAGAGAGCGGCACAAUGGCAUCAUGCAUAGCAUUUUCCUUUAGGAAUGACAAAAACCUCAUAUCAAGUGAUUGAGCUAUGAGAACAACCAUCAACCAUGGAUUCCCAAGUUUCAAAUGGGUCACAGGAUUCACAAAAACACACAGAGCUGUUUAUUUAUUUUUCGUAUCCAAAUACAGGACAUGAAAACCCUUUCAGCCUCACACUUCUUAGAUACAUAACGACAACAGGAGAGACAUCCCCACUAUAUUCACACACAUGCAACAAACAUCUUCCAUUGCAUACUUACUACAGCAGAAAGCCCAUAAAACCAGACACAAGCAGCGCUUGCCUGCUUAAGCUCUGCGGCACACAUCUCCAUCGCAGUUCCAUCCUUCCUUUCCCUUUUCAAUUCCAGUAUCUUCAUCUUCCUUCAAAGCACACUUAGGGUGAAGAUCAAAGUCACAUUGUUUGCAAUAGAAAGACCACCUAUUUCCAGUUUCCCCACAGCCAUCGCAAAUAUAUGUUUUGCGUUUAGUACGUAUCAGCUCAUGCUCAGUAUGAAGUUCGUGUUUCACUUUCUCUGGCCACCCCUUUGCCUUUUCCUCAAGCUCCUCCUCCAAUUGCUUUAGAUGUUCCUCGGUAAAUGGAAAAGCAUCUGCCCCGUAAGCUGUCAAGUGCAUCCGAGCUUCCUUGGUAAUGGUCCGGCCACUUGGGCCAAUCGCUACAGCUGCAGGAAUGCCUUGAAUUUUGAAUUUCCGACUCAGGAUUUGUUUCCUUCCAUCACCAAAUGGAAGGGCUAACCAAGGCAUUUCUGAAUAGAACUCGUCAAAGGUGGAUUGAUCUCUGUCGCUUGAGAUGAAGAUCACCUCAAAUGCAUUGUCUUUUCUUUUAAUUGUGUGGUAUGCUUCAAUUAGCUUGGGUAAAAAGGCACGACAUGGAGGGCACCAUUGAGCUGAGAAGUAAAGAAGAAUGUUCUUUCCAACUAGUUCAGACACUGGGACCUAAUCAAGAGCAAACCAUUUGAAUAAUAUAAAAAACCUUAGCUAAUGAAUUCAAUUCGUGAUAAUAAGAAAGUUAUUGAAAGUAAUGCAAUAACAACAUGCGAGGUUAGCAUAGAACAAAAAACAUUACCUUGGAGCCACUUUUGUCAAUCACAAAAUCAUUUUCCCCAUUAACCAAAACUGACUCAAGCGUCUGCGAUUCCAGUUUUGCCUUUUCAAUUGCAGCUAGCUCGUCAAGCUUUUCCG